AUAUAUAUAUAUAUAUAUAUAUAAGAUGAUGAAAAAGUCUUCUUGACAAGAGAAAGAUCACAACAGAAAAUGUUCAAAUGCAAGUGCUACAAUUGUAGUAAAGUUGGCCGUAGAUCUCUAAAUUAUCAAGUUCUGAAGAAGAGCAAAAAUAAAAUCAGAUAAACAUGGUGGAAGCAACUGAAAAGAUUGAAAACGUGUGUUCUAUGAUUACUUAAUGUAAUCUACUUUGAAAUCCAAAUGAACGGUGGUUUUAUUAAGAUUCCACUCAACAUGUUUGUGUGGACAAAGAAGCUUUCGCUACUUAUAAUGCCACAGGUCCCAUAGAAGUGAAUAUCAUGGGAAAUACUGAAACAACUAAGAUUGAAUAAAGUGGACAUAUAUUUAUAAAAAUAACUUCCAAGAAGGUGUUGACUCUCAAUAAUGUUCUCCAUGUUCCUACAAUUAGGAAGAACUUAGUGUCUAUAAUACUUCUUAUUAAUAAUGGGUUUAAGUGUAAGUUUGUUUCGGAGAAAGUUGUAAUUGCAAAGAAUGAAAUGUACGUAGGAAAGGACAAUCUCAGUGAGAGUUUUUUCAAACUUAAUGUAAUAGUUGUUGAAAUGAAGAAACUUAAGGCUUCUUAUUACGUGCUUGAGUCAAAUAGAUUAUGGCAUGAAUGUUAAGGACAUAUCAAUUAUAAAAUAUUGCGAAAACAAAUUAGUUUGAAUGUUUGCCUAAUUUUAAUUGUAAUAAAUUAAAUUCUCAAACAUGUGUUGAAUCAAAGUAUGUUAAGCAUGCGUAUAAGUCUAUUGAAAGGAAUUUCAAUCCCUUAUAUUUAAUUCAUAUGGAUAUUUGUCGUAUAAAGUCAACAUCAUCUCGUGGUAAAAAAAUUAUUUCAUAAUUUUAUUAAUGAUUGCAUUCGAUAUUGUUUUGUUUAUUUGAUGAAUAAUAAGAAUGAGGUAAUACAAGAAUUUAGGCAAUAUAAAAGUGAAGUUGAAAAUUAGUUGGAUAAAAAGAUUAAAAUAAUACAAAGUGAUAGAAGUGAAGAGUAUAAAUCUCUUUUUGCGGAGAUAUGUUUAAAAAUUUAAAUUGUCAAUCAAACUACUGCCCCAUAUUCACCCCAAUCAAAUAGGAUUGUGAAAAGAAAAAUUAAAUGUUGAAGAAAAUGAUGAAUGUCUUACUUAUAAGUCUAGGUUUAUCCCCAAACUUAUGGGCAAAGGUAUUCUUACAACUAAUCGAAUACUUAAUAGAGUGCUUCAUAAAAAAAACACAGUCUAUUCCAUAUGAGAAAAGAAAAGAAAGGAAAUGCAACUUAAAAUAUUUCAAAAUAUGGGGAUAUCUAUCAAAAGUCCAAGUUCCUAUACCCAUAAGGGUGAAAAUAGGAUCAUCGAAUAUACAACAAACAGUAAAGCAUGUCAGUUUUUGGUUCAUAAAUUCAAACAUCUGGAUAUCCGUUAUAAUACAAUAACUGAAUUAGAUAAUGCUGAAUUUUUUUAGCACAUUUAUCCUUAUAAGACUAGACAUGAGUUUUCUAGUGAAGGAUAUAAAUGACCUAGGGAUAAAUCAAAAGAAAAUAUACUUAAUGAAAAGAAGCCAAGGCAGAGAAAGAGAUAAAAUACGCCGACUUCCCUCGAAUCAGAUUUUGUAACAUUUUGUCUUGAAGAUAAGCCUCAAACAUUUAAAUAAGCAAUGUCAAUUAUGAACUCAUCCAUUUAGAAAGAGACAAUUAAUAGUGAGAUCAAUGCAAUCUUAAGCAACUAUACUUGGAAAUUGAUUGAUCUUCCUCUAGAAAAUAGAUGUUUAGGCUCUGAAUGGAUAUUCAAAAGAAAAAUGAAAACUGAUGGUACUAUUGAGAAAUACUAGAUAAGACUUGUUGUGAAAAAAUUUAGACAAAAUGAAGGUCUUGAUUAUUUUGACAUAUAUUCGUCAAAAACAAAGAUAACAUCCAUUCAGAUGUUGACUGGUAUUAACUAUGGUAUAUAGUUUUGAAAUGCAUCAACUGGAUGUGAAAACAACUUUCUUGAAUGGAGAGUUGGAGGAAGAAAUUUACAUAGAACUGCUCAAGAAUUUUGCAGUUCUUGGUAAGGAAAUAAAAGUGUGCAAACUUGUAAGUCACUAUAUGGACUAAAGCAACCACCAAAAAGUGGCAUGCAAAACUUGACCAAACCAUAUUGACAUAUGGAUAUAAGAUAAAUGAGUGGUGAUAAAUAUGUUUACAUUAAAGCUACUCCAAAUCACAAAGUUAUCAUUUAUUUGUAUGUGGAUAACAUGUUGAUCAUCAUUAGAGACACUUCUGACAUAAAUGUUGCCAAAUGAAUACUUGAGAGCAAGUUUGAUAUGAAAGACCUUGGAAUUGCUAAUGUGAUCUUAGGCAUAAGAAUUCAUAGAACUCCCCAAGGAUUGGCAUUGUCACAGUCCCAUUACAUUGAAAAAGUACUUGACAAGUAUAGGUUAUUGAAUUUAAUAUUGUCAAGACACCAUUAGAUAUGAGUUUUUACUUUAAAAGAAUGAAGGUGAAAGUAACUCACAAUGCGAGUAUGCAAGAGUGUUGGAAAAUUUGGUGUAUAUCAUGAAUUGUAUGUGAUUAAACAUAGCAUGCGUUAUUAGUAAACUGAUAAUCCCAUUCAAACUCAUUGGAUGAUAAUGAAAAAUGUUUUGUGAUAUCUAAAGUCCGUCACGGACCGGAGACCACCCCCAUUUCCUAUACAACAGAGCACAACACUCACUAAUAUGGACUAAAGUCCAAACAUAUAACAAAAUAGAGUAACAUAAGCUCAAAAAUUCUAGAUUAUAUCAAUAACCACCAACUGAUACCGACAACCAAUACCAACUACCAACACAACACCCAAAUCCACAGUACCCACAAAGCCUCUAACAAAAUUGAGUACUAAUAAAAUAUCAAGAUAUACCCCCGACCAUAGUCAAAAAUAAGUCUGAAAUAAAGUCUAAGACAUAAGAAACAAGUUUUUCGAAUGAUGGAACCUCAUCACUUUAUGUUAACUCACGAACUACCGACGAACACAUGAUCACUAUGUAGGAAAGGUAUAAGAAGUUACAGCGCCUGCAUCGCAUGGGUAUACAACAUUCGGAGAUAGUUAGCGGUUGGAGCGCUAGCAUGUAACUUAGGAAUAAAGGAAUAAAUAAUGUCAUGAGUAAUAAUUCAGAACCAAUCAAAUCCCAUGCACAUCAUCAAAUGAAAAUACAUGCAUACACAUAUAUAUAUACAUAUAUACAUGUAUACAUACAUAUAUAUAUUACAUAUCAGGGUAGGGAACAAGGCUUAGCAUGAACUUUUAAAAUCUUAACCUGGAUUGUGUAGCAUAACUAUCAUAAUCAAGCACUCAUGAGCUAUAUAGGCCCAACUCUCCCCCAGCUGGAAAGGCCCCAGUGCAUUAGUCGCACGAACCUGAGGAUAAUCAUAUGUUAUAUGCCUGAUGGGGGGACUCAAACCUCCCGGCAUAAAUCAAAGGUGACUAAGGAACCAAUUUAUAUAACAUGGGGGACUCAAACCUCCCAAUCAUAUAAUAAUAAUAAUAAUAAUAAUAAUAAGAGAGACUCAAACCUCUCGGUCAUCUAGACCCCCGUGCUGGCUAGCGUAGUUUAUGGUGCUAAUCUUUCGGGACCUUUACUUUCACGGUCUAGCUACACAAUCCACUUUUAAGCCUAAUUAAAAUGUUAAACACAUAUUCUCAAUUCAUUAAAUCGACUAUGCAUUUAGGCAUCUUGUUUGUGUCGCCAUACCAACCUUACAUACAAGUUCAUUACCAUGCCACAAUCCACUAACCAUCACAAAUUCUCCACGACCCCUUAGGUUCAAUUAACAUUCACACAGGAAAUCCACAUACCCCGAAGUUCAGUAAAAUUAUUCCAUGGUUCGUUAACCAUGCCAAUGAAUUAGCUCAAGUGAGCAAGUCAAAAUAUGUGAUAAAGCCAUGUAUAACUAUCAAUUUCACAUUUUGGUUUAGGGAACUCAAUUUCCAAAACCAUAUGUCAAAGAAAAAUUAAUCACAAUUGGGGAAAACAUCACCCCUUUUAUUAUUCACCAAUCCCAUGCACUCCACAAGUUCAAAACUAUUAAAAAAGCAUAAAUAAUACAUAAUAAACCAAGGGAAAUAAAUUUUACAACCAUUCAUAUCAAAGCCCUUAACCAUAUUAAAACCUUUAUUUCAAAUCCACAUAAUUAACCAUGUAAAUUCAUGCAUUAAAAAAUGAGUUUAAGCGUGGAGUCACAUGCCUGAAAUACCCAAAAAUAUGGAGAGAAUUCAACCCUUGAAGCUCUACUAUACCCACUUCUUGGAAACCCUAUAUAUUGAUGCUUGAGAAAAUUUGACAGAGAAGAGAGUGUGUUUGAUGUGCAUUAUGGAUGAAAAUAGGGUCCCAGGUAUAUUUAUAGGUCGUGAGUUAUUAUUGGAAUAAGAGGGAAAUUUCUAAAAUAUCCACAUUAAAAGGCUGAAAAAUAAGAUGCCAGUCAUUAUGGGUAACCUUAUGUAAGACCCUGCAAAAUUCUCUCCUAGUCUGAGCGUUAGAACAUGUUCAGUGAAGCGUAAAUCCGCUCCUAAAAAGUUUAAGAAGUGUUUUCCCAAGUGAGAAAUAUUUUGAACCAUGUAGAAUUUUCUUAAUAUCGACUUUAUAUCAUGUAGAGCAUUCAAUAAGCUUUCCAUCGAUACUAAUUUUGUCAAAAUCCGGCAUCGAACGAGGAAGUUAUGACCAUUUUACUGAAAAUAGAUGGAAUCGCCCAGGUGCGACGGCUGGGUUGAUGUGCCAUCAAGCUUGCAACGAACCACCGCCCAUCCCGUCGUAACCAAGGAAGUGAUGCCCAAGUGCGACGGCCAGGAAGAUGGACCAUCAAGUCUACGACGGACCGUCGCUGAGACCAUCACAUGCGACAGACGAUCCGAUGGACAGUCAAGGCUGCAAUGGACCGUCGAUGGGACCAUCACACUGAGGCAGAGUGGCCUCUUCCUGGCCAACAUGCGAUGGACUGUCAGUUUUGCGAUGGACUAUCGCAACCAAGGCAAUGUGUUCUUUUUGGAUCGAUGUAUGACGGACGAUCCGACGGACCAUCAGACUUGCGACGGACCAUUGAUUCAACCAUCGCAGAGCCCGUUUAACAUUUUUAACUCAAUUUUUGGUCUUUUCCCACUUUUUUCAGCCCCUAUUUAUAUCCGAUCAAGGCUCACAAUUUUAUUCUUCAUCUUUAACAUCAAAAACUAGGGUUUCCUACAAAUCACAACCCUUCUUUCUUCUUCAAAAAAAAAUUAAGAUAAAUCAAGAAUCUCUCCUAGAGCCUUCAAUAAACAAUUUCCCUAAGGUAUGCAGAUGUCGAUUCUUGGCUCCCUUUCAUCUAAGAAGAUCAAGAAUCUUUUUCUCAAUUUCAAAGAUCUUAUGUUUAUGAGUUUUCAUGAUUUAUGUGAAUUGAAAUUGGAGUUCAUUCUAUUAUUGAGUUUUUAAUUCAUGUUUUGUUUAUGAGGUUUCAAGAUUUGACCCUAGUAUGUGAUAUUCAUGUGAUGAUCAUGGUAAACACUCUUCAAGUUACUUUUUAAGUGACAUGUUCAUGUCGAUUAAGUGUAGAUAUUGUUGAAUAAGCAAAGCAUGCUCCCCAUAUGUUUGAUAAAAUGCUUAUGUGAAGGAAUUAGAGCCUUUAUAGCAUGUUGACUAGAAAUACCCAAUUGUGUGCAAGCCCAUACAUUUCAAGUGUUUGUUAAAAAGCCUCAGUUAAUGAAUUGUGACAUGAUAGCAUGAAAUUCCCCAAUUAUGUGCUCUUUGAUACAUGCUAAGACUUUAACAUAUGCCAAGUGUUUGAUGCAAGACCUUGUUUAAUAAAGUAUGAUCCAAUAGCAUCUCCCCCUAUGUUAUUACAUGUUUAGGAUUCCUAAAUGCUUGAAGUGAUGCCUUAGUGAUUAUGAUGGUGAAUGAUUGUCCAUGGUCUUGAUAAUUCAAGAAUGGUUAUGUUUUACUUUUAUAUUAUCGAGUCCUGGGGGUAUUCAUACCCGACAAUUUAGAUGUUGUCUAGAGCCCGUGUCAGUUUUCACAAUAAUUCCAGUCGAUCCAUGAUUCUCAAGACUCAGCGAGUUAUAGAACUCUGUAUUCUUAAAUAGAUACAGAACUUAAGAAAUUUAGUAAUCUCUGUAAUCGCCAUAAUAUCAGUAUCGCUGGUAAUCUAGCCUCAGUUUUGUACCCAUCUCAGAUCUAGUAGUAUUCAAGUGUUCAGUUCUGACCUCUGUAGUAAUCAGGUACUCUAUUCAAAGCUCAGUGUCAUUCUGUCAGAUAACAAGAUUCAGUAGUAUUCCAUCAGAUACAAAGCCAAGUGAAUUCAGCUUAACUCAGUUAGACUAUUUGAGAAACAUGAUCAGUAUCAGAUUUAACUUAGUUUGUGUUCAGUUAAGAAUCAGUUUAGAGUCUUUCAGUUGGGAGUAGGAGCUAGCACCGAGCGAGGGCAGGGAUGGCGGCUCCCCGUCAGAGAGGCAGAGCCGCUAGGAGCAAUCCUUGAACUCCAGAACUGCGUAGUCAGUGUAGGAUGUAGGAGUUACCCAUCAGGAAAGGCUGGUCACCUGUCAGAUAGGCUUGACUAUUAUAUGCCUUAGGCUUGACUUCCUGUGAGGGUCACCCGUCAGAGAGAAUUGACCAAAGAGUUCUUUACCCGUGGCACGGUAUUGACACCCUUCUAGCUGGGGUUAUAGGUUGGACCCCACCAGUUGAGAUUUGAGGAAUGUCAAUUAAGUGACUACUUCCCACAGUUACAGUUUCAACAUUAAUCUUCAGAAAUCAGGAUUGUUAGAUAUAGUCAUCUAUCUCAAUAAGGAACUCAAAUAGUUCCAUUAAUUCAUGAACCACCCGUCAGAUAGGCUUGGUCUUAUAUAAUGUUAUUCAGUAUUAGAUUUGGAGAUCACCCAUUAGAUAGGGUUGAUCUCAAUCUCAGAUUCAAUUGAGUAUUCUAGUUGUCAGAUUCGGAUAUGAUAUUUUCUUAUCAUUUAUAGUAGAUUCUAAAAUCAUCUAUUAGAUAGGUUUGAUCUCUGAUGCAGCCAAUCAAGAGUAGAAAGCUCAAAAUUUAGUCAAUGAAGGGAUUAUAAUUAGUCAAUCAGCUUUAUUAUCCUCAGAUUCCGAGAUCACUCUCUAGAUAAGACUGAUCUCAACUCCAAUAUUCAGCUAUCAAUAUUAGAUGAUUCAGUUGUUCAGUAUCUCAGUAUUAGUAGUAAGUUCAUAUGACAGUAAUGCAGUAUCUGAGUUUAAGUAUUCAGAGUCAUGAUGGUUGUAGUUAUGGAUUUUUUAUUCAUUCAUGUGUUCUCAUUCAGUACUCUCAUGAUUAUUCAGUAAAGUAAUUAUUCAUGCAUAAGCCCUUGCAUUUUGCCUUACCCCGUCUGCAUACUCGUUAUAUUCUCAUACUGAAGCAUUUAUGCUGUGGUGUUUUAUUUGACACCAUAGGUUCAGAGACACGAGAUUCAAAGUACCCUUAGCAGCUCAGUCCCAGUCAGCAGCAGUAGACAUAACAUUGAGUUCUCUUCAUUUGAGAAUGAUCCUUUUAUCAUUAUUGCAUUAGAUUUUGUUUAUUUUCAGUAGACAGAGUUAGUUGGGGACAUGUCCCAUCAACUCCACCGCUCAGACAGUUUAGAGGUUUUUUAGAUAUAUCAGUAUUCAGUUUUCAAUUUUGAGUAUUUUUAGAUGUUUUAAACCUUAUGGCCAGUUUUCGCACUUAUUAUCUAUAUUAUGCAGUAUCUAGGUAUAGAUAUUAGUAGAGGAUUAGAUUGUCGUCCUUUGGGAUCAUGAGCACCAUGUGACAUUCCAGUUCUAGAAAAUUGGGACUUUACAAACUUGGUAUUAGAGCCUAAGGUUCAAUAGUGUCUUAGGGAGUCUGAAAAGCCGCAUCUACUAGAGUCUUGUGCAUGAGUAUUUUGCAUGCCACAUUUAUGUACAAGAGUCUAAUAAGAUGUUUUAGGAGAAGUUUCCCUUCUUUUAGUAUUCAUUUCAUGCGAUUGAGCAUGAGCUCAAGUUGAUCCUCAGUCUAAUCCACCUCUUUCUUCUAUUUACAGAGUAUGCCUCCUCGUAGAGAUAGUGCCCUUAGAGUUGAUGACCCGCCACCUCAGGCAGUCGAUCCUGAGAAUGAGAGUGUUUCACACACCGAAUUUUGGAUAAUUUUUUAUGCACUAGACCAAGCUGUGAUGACUAAUGUUCAGGGUAACCAUCAGGCUGUGGCCCCACCUCAGAAAGAAGGGGGUUCAGCUGCAGCCAGAAUUAGAGAUUUAAUGAGAAUGAGCCUGCCAAAAUUCCUUGGGUUAGUAGCAGGUGAGGACCCAUAGCUUUAUCUAGAGAAGGUGGGGAAGAUUACCCAGAUUAUGCAUGUUUUUGAGGAGGAGAGUGUAGAGUUAGCAUCCUAUAGGCUGAACGAUAUUGCUCAUGAUUGGGUAGUGAUAUGGAAGAAGGGUAGAGGGGAGGAUGCAACUUUCGUGACUUGGCAAGAGUUUCAGGGUGCCUUCUUAGAUAAGUUUUUCCCAUUAGAGAUGAGAGAAGCUAAGGUAGAGGAGUUCAUAAACCUAAGUCAAGGCUCCAUGACAGUGAAAGAGUAUUGUCUUAAGUUUAAACAGUUAGCUAAGUAUGGUCCUGACUUGAUAGCUGACCCUGGAGUGAGUAUGAGUAAGUUUGUGACUGGUUUAUCUGGGUUAGUGUUGAAAAAGUGUAGAAUUGUUAUGCUUCACAGAGAUAUGGACCUUGCUAGGCUGAUGAUAUGUGUAUAGCAUAUUGAGUUAGAUAAGAUAAAAGAAAGAAAGAGAGUGAGUAAGAGAGCCAGGACAGGUAGUCAUGGUUUCUCUCAGGCAGGGUCCCAAGGUGGUAGUCGUUCUUAGCAUAGUCAGAGAUUUUUAGUCCCAGCUCCAUCCUCAGCUAGUUACCCACACCAAAGUUUGAGGAUGUCAGUUAUGAUGAAGUGCUAAGCUCCAAAUCCUAGAGUAGUGCUAGUGGUAUUCGUACCUAUCCGCUUUGUAGAGAGUAUGGCAAGAGUCACCUAGGUAUGUGUAGAGCCGGUAGUGAUGUGUGCUUUGGGUAUGGUGAGACAGGCCAUAGAAUGUGAAAGUGUAGAUUGCUAGCUCAUAGGGGUAGAGAGUUUUAUCAGAAGGGUGCCCCUUCUGGGGCAAAUAGUGGUCAGUGUCAGAACAGACUUGAUCAAGAAAGGUUCCCUGAUAUAGAUUUGGGUAUGUUAUGAGUCCUUCAUCUUUAUGAUAUGCAUUGUUAGAUCCUUUGAUCCUGUUUUUGAGAUUAUAUGUUAGCAUGAGUCAUGUAUUAGUUUCAGAUCUCAGUCGGUCAAUCAUGACCCAGUUUGUAGGUGUCCCGUGCACCGCCCUAGUAUUUUAGCAAGGUGUUUAUCGAAGGACAUAGAGCCCCAACGGGAAGAUACCCCAUAAUAUUGUGAUGCUCUCAUGUUCUUAGACUCAUUAAUUUGCAUGUUCAGCCUCUCCGUAUAAAGUUAACAUCAGUGAUCAUUGCAUAGCCAGUCAUGCUUUCGAGAGUCAAUUCAGUCGGACAUCCAUGCAUUAGAUAUGCACAUUCAGUAGAAAGAGUUCAUCUUUUCAGUGUGUUUAGUCAUGCAUUCAUGAGAUCAACCCAGUUAUGCAUCCAUGCAUCAGAUAUGCAUGUCCAGUAUGAGAAUUCAGCGUAUGAGUAGCUUCAGUCGAGUAUUUCAUGCAUCUGAUAUGUAUUUCUAAUAUGAAAAAUCAGAGUAUCAGUGUUCCAAUUGCAUAGUCAUGUUUCAGACGUUCUUGUUCAUUGAGUAAGUUCAGUUGAUCAGUGUUCUAAACCUAUCAAGCAACAUUCGAGGACGAAUGUUUCCAAGGAGGAGAUAAUGUAAGACCCCAUAAAAUUCUCUCCUAGUCUGAGCCUUAGAGCGUGUUCAGUGAAGCGUAAAUCCGGUCCUAAAAAGAUUAAGAAGUGCCUUCCCAAGUCAGAAAUAUUUUGAACUAUGUAUAUUUUCCCUAAUAUAGACUUUCUGUCAUGUAGAGCAUUGCAUAAGCUUUCAUCGAUACUAAUUUCAUCAAAAUCCAGCAUCAAACAAGAAAGUUAUGGUUGUUUUAUGGAAAACAGUCGGAACCACCCAGGUGCGAUGGGGCCGGGUUGACGGACCGUUGAGCUUAAGAUGGAAUGUCGCCCAGCCCGUCGAAACUAAGGCAGUGAUGCCCAAGUGCGAUGGCCAGGACAACAGACCAUCAAGUCUACGACGGACUAUUGUUGAGAUCGUCAUGCGCGACGAACAAUCCGAUGGACCAUCGAGGCUGCAACGGACCUUCGAUAAGAUCGUCGCACUGAGGCAGAGUGGGCUCUUCCUGGCCAACGUGUGACGGAUGAUCUGACAGACCGUUAGUUUCAUGACGGACCAUCACUCGGACCAUCGCAACCAAGGUAAUAUGUUCUUGUUCGAUCGAUGUGCAACAGACGAUCUGACAGACCGUCAGACUUGCGAUGAACCAUCGAUUCGACCGUAGCAGACCCCGUUCAACAUUUUUAACUCGAUUUUAAAAGGGUUUUUUGGUAUUUUUCCCACUAUUUUCAGCCCCUAUUUAUAUCCGAUCAAGGCUUACAAUUUCAUUCUUCAUCUUUAAUAUCAAAAACUAGGAUUUUCUACAAAUCAAAACCCUUCUUUCUUCUUCAAGAAAAAUCAAAAGAAAUUAAGAAAUCAAGAAUAUCUCCAAGAGCCUCCAAGAAAGAGUUUCCCUAAGGGAUGCAGAUGUUGAUUCUUAGGACCCUUUCAUCCAAGAAGCUCAAGAACCUUUUUCUUAAUUUCAAAUAUCUUAUGUUUAUGAGUUUUCAUGAUUUAUGUGAAUUAAAAUUGGAGUUCAUGCUAUUAUUAAGUUUUUAAUUCAUGCUUUGUAUAUGAGGUUUCAAGCUUUGACCCUAGUAUGUGAUAUUCAUGUGAUGUUCAUGAUAAACCCUCUUCAAGUUACUUGUUAAGUGAUGUGUUCAUGUUAAUUAAGUGUAGAAAUUGCUGUAUAAGCAAAGCAUGCUCCCCAUAUGUUUGAUAAAAUGCUUAUGUGAAGGAAUUAAAGCCUUUAUAGAAUGUUGACUAGAAAUCCCCAAUUGUGUGCAAGCCCAUGCAUGUCAAGUGUUUUUUGAAAAGCCUUAGUGAAUGAAUUGUGAUAUGAUAGCAUGAAAUUCCCCAAUUAUGUGCUCUUUGAUACAUGCUAAGACUUUAAUACAUGCCAAGUGUUUGAUGCAAGACCUUGUUGAAUGGAGUAUGAUCCAAUAGCAUGUCCCCCUAUGUUAUUACAUGUUUAGAAUUCCUAAAUGCUUGAAGUGAUGCCUUAGUGAUUGUGGCGCUGAAUGAUUGUCCAUGGUCUUGAUUAUUCAAGAAUGGUUAUGUUUUACUUUUAUGUUAUCGAGUCUUGGGGGUAUUCAUACCCAAUAAUUUAGUUGCUGUCUAGAGCCCGUGUCAGUUUUCAUGAUAAUUCCAGUCGAGCCAUGAUUCUUAGGACUCAGCGAGUUAUAGAACUCUGUAUUCUUAGACAGAUACAGAACUUAAGAAAUCUCAGUAAUCUCUGUAAUCGUCAUAAUCUCAGUAUCGCUAGUAAUCUAGCCUCAAUUUUGUACCCAGCUCAGAUUUAGUAGUAUUUAAGUGUUCAGUUCUGACCUCUGUAGUAAUCGAGUUCUCUAUUCAAAGCUUAGUACCGUUAAGUCAGAUAACGAGAUUCAGUAGUAUUCCGUCAGAUACGAAACCAAGUGAAUUCAACUUAACUCGGUCAGACAAUUCGAGAAACAUGAUUAGUAUCAGAUUCAGCUUAGUUUGUGUUCAGUUAAGAAUUAGUUUAGAGUCUUUCAGUUGGGAGUAGGAGCUAGCACCGAACAAGAGAAGGGAUGGCGGCACCCCAUCAGAGAGGCAGAGUCGUUAAGAGCAAUCCCUGAACUCUAGAACUUUAUAGCCUGUGCAGGAUUCAAGAGUCACCCGUUAGGAAAGGCUGGUCACCCAUUAGAUAGGCUUGACUAUUAUAUGCCUUAGGCUUGACUUCCUGCGAGGGUCACCCGUCUGAGAGGCUUGACUAAAGAGGUCUUUACUCGUGGCACGGUAUUGACACACUUCCAGCUAGGGUUACAGGUUGGACCCCACCAAUUGAGAUUCGGGGUAUGUCGGUUAAGUGACUACUUCCCACAGUUACAGUUUCAGCAUCAAUUUUUAGAAAUCAGGACUGUCAGAUACAGUCAUCUAUCUCAAUAAGGAACUCAGAUAGUUCCAUUGAUUCAUGGACUACCCGUCAGAUAGGCUUGGUCUCAUAUAAAGUUAUUUAGUAUCAAAUUUAGAGAUCACCCAUCAAAUAGGUUUGAUCUCAGUCUCAGAUUCAGUUGAGUAUUCUUGUUGUCAGAUUCGGACAUGAUAUUUUCUUAUCAUUUAUAGUAGAUUCUAAAAUCAUCUAUUAGAUAGGUUUGAUCUCCGAUGCAGUCAAUCAAGAGUAGAAAGCUCAAAAUUCAGUCAAUGACAGGAUUAUAUUUAGUCAAUCAGCUUCAGUAUCCACAGAUUUCGAGAUCACUCGCUAUAUAAGAUUGAUCUCAACUACAGUACUCAGCUAUCGGUAUCAGAUGAUUCAGUUGUUCAGUAUCUCAGUAUUAGUAGUGAGUUCAUAUGACAGUAAUACAGUAUCCAAGUUUUAGUAUUCAGAGUCGUGAUGGUUGUAGAUAUGGUUUGUGCAUUCAUGCAUGUGUUCUCAUUCAGUACUCUCAUGAUUAUUCAAUUAAAUAAUUGUUCAUGCAUAAGCCCUUGCAUUUAUCCUUACCUCGUCUGCAUACUCAAUACAUUCCUGUACUGAAGCAUUUGCGCUAUGGUGUUUUAUUUGACACCAUAGGUUCAGAGGCACGAGAUCCAAAGUACCCUUAGCAGCUCAGUCCCAGUCAGCAGCAGUAGACAUAGCAGUGAGUCCUCUUCAUUCGAGGAUGAUCCUUUUAUCAUUAUUGCAUCAGAUUUUGUUUAUUUUCAGUAGACGGAGUUAGUUGGGGACAUGUCCUAUCAACUCCACAGGUCAGACAGUUUAGAGGUUUUUCGGACAGAUGUAUCAGUAUUCAGUUUUCAAUUUUGAGUAUUUUUAGAUGUUUUGAACCUUAUGGCCAGUUUCCGUAUUUAUUAUCUAUAUUAUGCAAUAUGCAGGUACAUAUAUUAGUAGAGGGUUAGCUUGUGGUCCUUCAAGAUCAUGAGCACCGUGUGACGUUCCGAUUCCAGAAAAUUGAGUCGUUAUACCUUACGACUUGUAGGGUCACCCUAUGACUUAUUUUUCCUCAAUCAUAGUCUCGACAGUGUCCCAGACCACCGACACUGGUCCAAUUAUGGAAAUGACCUUAUGACUUAUAACGAGUCCAUAUAUCUCGUUACAUCCUAGUCAUACUCAGGAUCGAAUACUUUGGGCAUCACACUGGUUUGCAUAUGGAAAGGACUAUACGAGUCAUUUAGAGUCCUUACGACUUAUAUCAUGGUAGUCGUAGUCAAAACUGUGACUUAGACAAAUCUCACUGGGUAUAUUACGACUAGGUCCUUUGACCCGUAAUGACUCUUUACGACUCGUAAGGAUUGUCGUAGUCAUGGCAGUAAGCUCAGAACUUAGAAAUUUUCAGGGACCACCACCUGGGGUGUUUUAUUCUCCCCCUUUAGGAUCAUUCAUCCCCGAAUGAAAAGUCAAGGUAUCCCUUAGCACGAUUUAACACAAAAACACACCCACUCUUACCUUUAACAAAGAUAAAAAACAAAGGUACAAGGAAAUCACAAUUUCCUUUAACAAAGUCAAAAAGCAAAGAUGUUAAGAAUGACACAUACGCACUAUUAUUCGGAAAGGGGAACAAGAACGAAUACUUGGACUUCAUGUCCUCUUCAAUCUCCCAAGUGGCCUCUUCAACCUUAUGGUUCCUCCACAGAACCUUUACUAAAGCCACAUCCUUUGUUCGCAAUCGAUGAACUUGCCAAUCCAAGAUCUCCAUCGAAACUUCCUUAUAAGACAAGGAAUCUGAAAUACCCACAUCUUCCAAAGGAACAACCAACGAAGGAUUACCCACACUUUUUCUUAAUAUCGAGAUGGGAAGACCGGAUUAAUAGAGCCUAAGCUAGAAGGCAAAUCCAAUUCAUAUGCAACAUUAUUAACCCUCCUCAAAACCAACUACGAACCAAUAUAACGGGGACUAAGCUUCCUCUUCUUUCCAAACUGCAUCACUCCCUUCAUGGGAGUCACCUUUAAUUACACCCAGUCACCAACAUUAAACUUCAACUCUCUUUUUCUCACAUCUGCAUAGGACUUUUAGUGACUUUGCGUGGUCUUAAGCCUAUUUCGAAUCAUCUUCACCUUCUACAUGGCAUGGUGAACCAAAUCAGGACAAAAUGACUUAGCCUCACCAACUUUGAACCACCCAAUAGGAAAGCAACACCUCUUACCAUACAAUACUCAAACGGAGCCAUACCAAUGCUGGAGUGAUAGCUGUUGUUGUAGGCAAAUUCUAUGAGAGAAAAGUGGUCAACCCAACUACCACCAAAGUCAAUCACACAAGACCUAAGCAUAUCCUCCAAGGUCUGAAUAGUUCUCUCCGCUUGCCCAUCCGUCUACAGGUGGAAAACCAUACUAAGGCUCAUCUUAGUCCCCAAACCUCUCUAAAAUAAGCGCCAAAAAUAUGAUGAGAACUGAGUACCUCAAUCAAAUAUAAUAAAAAUAGGUGCACCAUGCAACUUCACGAUUUCUUGAAUAAACAACUUUGCAUAGUCCUCGACAGAUAAUUAGUUCUCAUCGGCAAGAAGUGAGCAGACUUAACCAUACUAUCCACGAUGACCCAAAUAGAUAUAAACUGAUUUCGAGACAGUGAAAAACUAGUAUCAAAAUCCAUAUUAAUCCCAUUUCUUCACAAGCAAAUCAAUUUCUUAAAAUAAUCCAUCAGGCCUCAAGUGCUCCACCUUCACUUGUUCACACUCCAUGCACCUAUCCACGAAAUUGGCCAUAUCUCUCUUUAUGUUAUUCCACCAAUAUAUCUCCUUAAGAUCCUGAUACAUCUUUGUUGAACUAGGAUGAACAAUAUAAUGUGACUCAUGAGCUUCGGCCAAAAUUCUUCCUCACAACCUAUCAACGUCGAGAACACACACCCUCUUUUGGAACCUCAAGAUACCAUCACCACCAAUCUCGAAAGCCAUCACUUUCUGCCUACCCACAUCCUCCUUGAUUUGCAUCAAGAUAGGGUCCAACACCUGUUUUUCUUUUACCUCAGCACCAAGAGAUGAUUUCACCACCUCUUGCACCAACAUACCACCAUUCUUAGAAUCUAAGAGAUGAAUUCCAAGAUUAUCUAAAUGGUGAAUAUCCUUUACCAAAUAAUGUUUCUCCUUAUCCACAUGAGAUAAGCUCCUUAUGGACAACCUGCCAAGUACAUCAGCAAUCAUGUUAGCUUUACCUAGGUGAUAAUAAAGACUCAUGUUAUAGUCCUUUAGCAACUCAAGACACCUCCUUUGCCUGAGAUUUAGCUCCCUCUGAGUGAACAUGUAUUGCAGGCUCUAAUCAACAUAGAUCACAUACAAAUAAUGUCACCAGAUCUUCAAUGUGAACACCAUAGCUAAUAAUUCCAAAUCAUGAGUCAGAUAAUUUUUCUCAUGAACCUUCAACUGUCUAUAACCAUAUGCCACAACUCUACUAUGUUGCAUCAAAACACAACUAAGUCCUGCCCGAGAUGCAUCAAAACAGACAAUGAAACCAUCAGUACCCUCGGACAGCGUCAAAAUCGAAGUAGAAGUCAACCAGUUUUUCAGUUUCUCAAAACUCCCCUCACAAGUAUCCGACCAUAGAAAUUUCACCUUCUUCUGGCUCACCUUAAUUAAUAGAUCCACAAUAGAUGAGAAGCCCUCCACAAACCUUCUAUAAUAUUCGGCUAAGCCCAAGAAGCUUCAAAUAUCUGUUAGAGUCAUGGGUCUAGGCCACUUCUUAACCACCACCACCUUCUAUGGAUCCACAUGAUCCUUUCACAAGAUACAACAUAACCUAGAAAAGUAAUAGCAUUAAAUAAAAAUUCACACUUUGAAAUCAUAGCAUACAAACAUUGAUCCUUUAGGGUUUGCAACACAAUAUAGAGGUGAUCAACAUGCUAUGCGUCACUCUUUGAAUAAACCAGAAUAUCAUAAAUAAACACAAUGACGAAUAAAUAUAGAAACUGAUGGAGUACCCAAUUCAUGAGAUCCAUAAUGUCAUGAGGCAUUGGUCAAUCCAAAAGACAUGACCAAGAACUCAAAACAACCGUAAUAGGUAUAGAAGGCAGUCAUAAGGAUAUCCCCCUCCCUAAUCUUUAGCUGAUGAUAGCCUGAACAGAGAUCAAUCUUGGAGAAAUACUUAGCACCCUGAAGCUAGUCAAACAAGUCAUCUAUCCUAGGAAGAGGCUACUUGUUCUUUACUAUCACCUUAUUUAACUGGCGGUAAUCAAUGCACAUCUAAAGGGAACCAUUCUUCUUAUGCACAAAAAGAACAGAAGCACCCCACGAAGACACACUAGGGUGAAUGAAACCCAUAUAAAUGAGAUAUUUCAUUUGCUCUUUAAGCUUCUUCAGCUAAAUUGGAGCCAUCCUAUAGGAAGGGAUAAAGAUAGGAUAAGUGUCCGAAAGAAGAUCAAUCCAAAAAUAAAUUUCCCUAUCAAGAGGAACAUCAGGAAGAUCAUUAGGGAAGACCUCAAGAAAUUUACUAACCACGGGUACAGCUAUAAGAAAGGACCCUCCAAGUUAGAAUUUUUAACCCAAACCAAAUGAUAAAGACACCCCUUGGAAAUUAAUUUUUGGGCUCUAAGAUAUGAUAUGAACCUCUCCUAGGAACUAGAUAACUCCUUUCCCACUCAAUAACCAGGUCACUCAGAAAUUUAAAAAUGACCUUACAGGUCAGACAGUCUAAAGAGGCAUUGCACAAGUGCAAUAAUGCAUUCCCAAGAUAACAUCAAAAUAAACCAUGUCUAAUUUAAUCAAAUCCACCAAAGCUUUUCUACCACCAAUAGAUAUCACACAACCCUUAUAUACUCUUCUAGAAACCACAAAGUCAAUUACUAAGGUAGAAAUAAAAAAGGGGUUCGAAAUACACUAGGGAUCAAAACCAGAAUGCACAGUCAUAAAUGGGGUCACAUAAGAAAGAGUAGAAACCGGAUAAAGCAACCAAUACAUAUCACAAGAGAAUAGUUUUAAGAUACCAGUGAUGACAUCAGGAGAUGCCUGGGACUCCUGACAGGUAGUAAGAGCAUAGAGAUGGUUUCAAAUAGUGUCGGAGCCAAAAGUGGCAUCCUUUGGUGCAGGAGCUGAUGAAGUAGCAAUAGGAAUCGUGUUGGCCCAGAAGCAAACUUUAAAGGACAAUCCCAAUGCAUAUGACCAAUCUGACUACAAGUAAAACAUCAGUUCUUUCCCUUCUUACACUGACCACGGUGCAACUGACCACAGAAUCUAGAAGGAGAAUAUAAAGGUGUUGAUUGGGCCCUAUUUGACUGAUACUAGGCACCAUAUGACCUAGAACCAUUACUACUCUAAAAACGUUGAUCACUGGACAACUUUGGGAAAGGAGCACUAGCCGUCGAAUAGGAGUUAGGACUCCCCAAUUCUUCUUCUAAGACUAUUUCCCACCAUCUCUAUUACUCUAUUGUUGGCCUCCGCCCUACUCUAAUUAUCUAAAUCUUUUACUUUGUCUUUUCCCUAUCUCAGCUUGCUUCUUUUUUCCUGUUCGAAUAGUUAUAUAUACACCAUAAGUCUAGAGAUGUCCAUAUCCUUUUUCAACAAGGCAGCCUUACUCUCCAGAAUCAAAUCACAGGAUAACCCAAAAGCAGAUUUUCUUAUUUUAUCCCUCAUGAUAGACACUAACUCAUGAGCAUAUCGUGACAACUGAUGAAAUUUCAAGGCAUGCUUUUUUACUAUCAUCCUUCCUUACUUUAGAUUUAUGAACUCCUUAGAUUUUGUCUCUCUUAACUCUUGAGGGAAGAAGCCAUCAAAAAUGGCACCUAAAAAUUAUCCCACGAAGAUGACUCAACAUCAUCAUCCCUAGACUAUCUCACUCCUCAAACCACUGAUACACAAUAUCCUUCAACUGAUAAGCAGCGAACUCCACACCCUCUAUAUCAGUAGCAUACAUCACUUGAAAGAUUUUUUCCAUUUUAGAUAUGAACCUUGGAGGAUCCUCCUCAACUUUAGUACUUGUGAAAAUUAGAGGGUGCAACCUCGUAAACUGGCUAACUCUAGUAGCCUCAGAAGAACUCACAGUAAUACUAGUAGGACUCGACUAUUGUGACUAAGUUAUUACUAAUUGGGUCAACAAAUAAAUGAAGCAAUAAAACUCAGUAUUGGUAAUAUCUCCCUAAGGUGACUUAGAACGAGUGUCACCCUUUGGAGUAGAAUUAGUUGAUACUGAUGGGACUUCAGGGGCAAUCAGUAGCAGUGACCCUAGACCGAGUCUAUACCCUAAAAGUAGAAUGAGCUCCUUUCAUAUUGUCCUUAGAUUGGACAGAAGAGUUUUCAUGAAUAUCAGAUCUUCUUGGAGGCAUGGUCUGAAAGGCGAGCAAAUAAAAAUUAGAGAGAUUCAAAACCUUAGACUCUACAACCUGAAAAUAAGAUAAAAAGAAAGGGAAACAUUCCUAAAUGCCUCCUAGCCUUUCCCUUAUAAGUGUGGUGCGCUAUACACCCAUAAAAGAGAGCCUACUUGGCAUGGCUUUAUGGAUACCUAAUUGACCAUGAACCUAGGUUCUGAUACAAACUUUGUCAUAAACAGAACCAAGGCCUAGCCGUGACAGUCAUUUUAAGUAUGUCGAGGACAGGAGGCCACCCUAAUUUCCUAGUCAACAGAGCACAACACUCAUUAACAUAGCCUGAAGUCCAAACAUAUAACAAGAUAGAGUAAAAUAAGUUCAAAGAUUCUAAAUUAUAUCAAUAACCAACAACCGAUACCAAUAACCAAUACCAACUACCAAUACAAUACCCAAGUCCACAGUACCCACAAAGCCUCUAACAAAACUGAAUACUAAUAAAGUAUCCGAACAUGCCCCCGACCAUAGCCAAAAACAAGACUGAAACAAAGUCUAUGACAUAGAAAACCAAAACAUGAAAUAAAGUCUUUCAAAGGAUGGAAGCUCACCACCUCAAGUCAACUCACGAACAAUCUACGAACACCUGAUCACUGCACAAGAAAGGUAGAAAAAGUUCUGACGCCUACAUUGCAUAGUGAUACAACAUCAAGAGAUGGUUAACAGUUGGAGUACUAGCAUGUAACUCAGGGAUAAGGGAAUAAAUAAUGGCAUGCGUAAUAAUUCAAAACCAAUCAAAUCCCAUGCACAUCAUCAAAUAUCAAUACAAAUAUAUAUAUAUAUAUAUAUAUAUAUAUAUAUAUAUACCAUAUACUGGGGGAGGGAACAAAGAUUUGUAUGAAUAUUUAAAAUCUUAACCUAGAUUGUGUAGCAUAACUAUCAUAAUCAAGGAACCCACAGGCUAUAUGGUCCCAGCUCUCCCCCAGCUAAAAAGGCCCCAAUGCAUAUAGCCUCAUGAACCAGAGGAUAAUCAUAUAUCAUAUGCCUGAUAGGGGACUCGAACUUCCCAGCAUAAAUCAAAGGUAACUUAAGCACCAAUUUAUAUAACAUGGGGGACUCAAACCUCCCAAUCAUAUGAUAAUAAUAAUAAGAACUUGAACCUCUCGGUCAUCUAGACCCCCACGCUGGCUAGUGCAGUUUUUAGUGUUGGUCCCUCGGGAUUUCCUCUUUCAUGGAUCGACUACACAAUUUGAUUUUAAGCCUAAUUAAAAUAUUUAACACACAUUUUCAAUUUAUUGAACCGAUUAUCUAUUUAGGCAUCCAGUUGGUAUCGUCGUACCAACCCCACUUACAAAUUCAUUAUCAUACCAUAAUCCAUUAACCAUCACACAGGGAAAAUUCAUGACCCCUUAGGUUCAAUUAACAUUUACAUGGGGAAUCCACAUACCCUAAAGUUCAAUAAAAUUAUAUCAUAGUUUGUUAACCUUCCAAUGCAUUAGUUCAAGUGAGCUAGUCAAAAUAUGUGACAAAGCCAUGUAUCAUUAUCAAUUUCACAUUUAGGUUGAGAGAACUCAAUUUCCAAAACCAUAUGUCAAAGCAAAACUCACCACAACUGGGGAAAACAUCACCCCUUUGAUUGUUCACCAAUCCCAUGCACCCUACAAGUUCAAAACCAUUAACAAAGCAUGAAUAAUGCAUAAUAAACCAAGAGAAAUAAAUUUUAGAACCAUUUAUAUCAAAGCCCUUAACCAUAUUAAAACCAUUAUUUCAAAUCUACGUAAUCAACCAUGUAAAUUUAUGCAGUAGAAAAAAUGAGUUUAAGGGUAGAGUCACAUGUCUGAAAUACCUAAGAUUAUGGAGAGAAAUCAACUCUUGAAGCUCUACAUGACCCACUUCUUGGAAACCCUAGGUAUGAUGCUUGAGAGAAUUUGAGAGAGAAGAGUGUGUAUUUGAUGUGUAUUAUGGAUGAAAAUAGGGUCCCAAGUAUGUUUAUAGGCCGUGUUUUAUUAUUGGAAUAAGAGAAAAAUAUCUAAAAUACCCUCAUUAAAAGGCUGGAUAAUAAGCCGCCAGUCAUUAUGGGUGACCUUAAACACGUAAGGUACCCCUAUGAGAAACUACUCGCCCUUGUAUAUCUGUAAUAGUGACAAUGAUAUUAUUGAAACUUGCUUGAACAUGAAUAACUCCCUUUGGUAUUCUACAUGCACCCUUAUAUGAACCAAUACGUCUAUUUAUCCGUACGAUGGCCCAGGACGAGGUGGUACUUAUGAUAUUUCAGUAUGGUACGUGUUUUAUUUGAUAGUUUUUUGGAUAUUAAAUACUAUUGGAUGGGUUACUUUUUAUUGGAACGCAUUCCAACCCAUUUUAGUGGAGGGGCGACUCGUUUCCCCUUAGUCGUAGUCUGGACAGUGUCCUAGGCCACCAAUACUGGUCUGGUACUAAAAUGACCUUAUGACUCGUAACAAGUCCAUAUGACUUAUUACAUGUUAGUCGUACUUAGGAAAGAAUACUUUGGGCAUCAUACUGGUUUCCUUAUGGAAAGGAUUAUACGAGUCGUUUAGAGUCCUUACGACUCGUAACAUGGUAGUCGUAGUCAAAAUAGUGACUUAGACUAAUCUCACUUGGCACAUUACAACUGGGUCCUAUGACUCGUAAUGGCUCCCUACGACUCGAAAAAAGAGUCGUAGUUAGGAAAGUAAGCUUAAAACUCAUAAUUUUUCAAGGACCAACACCCGGGUGUUUAAGUAGUAUGUAAGCAAUGUAUCUAUUUUUAGAUUUGAAAAAAUACUCUAUGAAGAUACUAUGUUAGUAUGCAUAUGUAAGGCCUAGGACUGAAAUGAUAAUAGAGAUCAAUUUUCAUUACAAGAAAAAAUCUCAAUGUCGUAUUCUUCUAUAAGAAAAGGAUUUCAAUUUAGAAAACGAAUUGAUAGUCUCUAUUUUGCUGUAUCAAUUAUCAUUUCGGUGAUAAACUUCUUCCAUAAUGAUAUUUAUGUUACAUAGUAUUGCCAGAAUAUCAACCAAUUUUAUUCUUUUAACUAAAUGAGGAAGAAUUUAAUUAUUAAUAAAACCUGGUGGGUGAAUUUUACUCCUCCAAAGAAAAAUGCAAAGUAAUAUGACUAACAAUGAUUCAAACAUAUAUAAAAAGGAUGUUUUUAUACUUCUUGAUAUUGGAAAAUAUCCAUAAAUUACAUGAAAAACACCUAAAGAUUCUUUGUGAACUUUGAUGGGAGUUUUUCUUAAUUAAAAACACAUUGAUCUAGACAUCACCGAGCUAUAAAGGACUAUCUAAAUUAAUUCGUUUCAACUGAUAAGCCCCAAUUGCAUCAUAGGAAUUCAAAAAAGAUUCUUAUGUAUACUUAUAGUAACUAUUGCCACUUCUUUUUUCAUAUAUGUAUAUAUACCGGUCAAACUUCUAAUUUUUUUUUGAGUUAAGGAUAAACAACAUAAAUCUCAUCCUAAAUGAAACUAAUUACAUAAGACCCUGAAUUGACUUUCUCUCUUCCAAAUUUGAGAAAAUACAUGUACAUGUCAAUGUACCUCAUACGUAACUUCAAUGUAUGAGGAAUCUAUUUCUCCAUAAGUUAUGGAAAUAAAAUCAUAUCCAAUUAUUCUCUUACCUUAAUAAUGGUAGUAAUUAAUGUUUUGAUUUUGUGAAUGCUUAAAAGUAGUAAUUAUAAUUCAAAUUCAAAAAAUAUCUUGAAUCAUUACCACAAUUUUUUUGAAUUGCGAUUUAGAAUUCAAUUUGAAAAAAAAUAGAAACAUUUGUUUUCUUCUAUUUCCAAAAAUCAAUAUGAACAUCACUAUAUUGUUGAGGCAUUUAGGGUCUUGAUGGUCUGAAAUUCUUUAUGAACAAUAUAAAAGUGACGGAAUUGUUGUUUCAGAAAGUAUAAUAUUCUUGAAAUUGAUUUCGACGAUUGCUACAGAAUUAAAUAUUGAUGAAGGACGAAAAAAACUUAAAGUAAAUUGUUGAAGGAAAUUUCUCUCCAGUUAUUAGAAAGAAUGAUAAUGGAGUGAGGGUGUACAUCGAAUAGAAGAAAAGUUUUCCAGGAUUUGUAAAUUACUUUUUGUUUAUUUCAAUUCUUGACAAGUCUAAUAAGGAGAUAGAGUUUGAUCGUGAAAUCGGUGUUGUUCUUUGUAUUGAAGGAACUGAAUUUGAUGCUCUUGCAUUAGUAUUAGCUGAAACGCAAAAUCAGUAUUCGUUAUAUGUUCUAGAAUUUGAAUUGAAAUACUUCAUUACUUUGUAUAGAGUGAUUGGAAAAAUUAAUGGAUGAGAAGGUUUUAUACAGUACUUUGUAUGUAUGAUGCUAGUGUAUUUGUUUUAUAUUAUAAGUAAAAACUUGCACAAUAUUGUAACCAAGCUGUCUUGACCCAAUUUCUCAAGUCGUGAUGACGCCUACGUUAUCCCCUAGUAGGUAAGCCAAGCCAUACUUUGUUGUAUCUGUGCUUGGUAGUUCUUUCCAUUAUUCAGCUUCUGCUUCAGCCAUAAUAGCAAUUUGAUUUAUGCUCUUUACUUUCUCAUUUUUAUGAAUCCUAGCCAGCCCCACUUAGUUCUACCUUCCUACAUUCAUCUACACUAGAAUGAACUUUUUCUUUACUUGUCGAGGCUAUCCAUGAUAAGUUUAUAUUCCUAGCAACUUCUUAUUUGUGUGCUACACUGCCCUUUUGACUUAUAAUAUAUUACCUAGUUUAAAUGAUAUUUUGACAUUAUUUAUAAAAUUUACACUACAAAUAUUAGAUUUAUACUCAAACAACAGUAUGUGUAUGAUAUUUAUUUACACUCUUGUAUGGAAGAUAGUUUAAUUUACGUAGUCGUUCCAGCAUUUGUUAUACAUAUGAGAAUGUAUUAUACAUUUUUUCUAUGUAUGAUGUCAAUGUUAUAUGUAUGAUUUACGCUCCAACAACAUGUUCUAUAUGUAUGUGAAUGCACUAUACUUUACUUUCUAUGUAUGAUGCAAAUAUUUUCGGUUUUAUAUUUAAGUAAAAACAUUUCACCUUAUAUGUAUCAGAACGUAUUAUACUUUACUUUCUAUGUAUAAUGUCAGUGUUAUAUGUAAGGGUUACACUCCAACAACAUCAUGUGCUAUAUGUAUGCGAAUGUAUUAUACUUUACUUUCUAUGUAUGAUGCAAGUGUAUUCAUUUUUAUUAUACUUUAUUUUAUAUGUAUGACAUUGUGAAAGCAGAUAAUUCAAUAAAUAUAAACAUGCAACCAAAAAAUAUUCGAAACUAAAUUUGAUUUAGUAAAAUUGAAAAAAAAAACUAAAAAUUAAAUAAAGAAUGUGCUGAAGUUAAUCACUUUAUUCAGUUAAUGCUUGAUAACUGACAAAUUUGAAAUCCCUCAAAUCACGUAGCUUCAAAAUAGGCAUAAAAUAAGGAGUGCAAUUAUGGAGUAAAAAUCGACCUAAAAAUAGAGUAAAAAUGGGUGUUUUGAAAUGUAUGAGACAGAAGAGAGAUAAAAUCUAAAAGGAAGAAAUUCUAUGUAAUUAAUGUGGAAUUUUUAUAAAUACUUUUCAAAAAAGAAAUUUUAUGUAACAAGUAAUAGUUACGUUGUGUAUAUAUGCAAUUUUUCCUUAAUUUAAACUUGGUCAUGCUGAUCAUUUUAUGAGAAAACAAAACAAAUUAUGUACACAAAGACCAUUACCAAGUCGUCGACCCACACUAAAAACCGGAUAAUGGGGAAAAUUAGACAAAAUUGUCCAAAUAAGCAAAACAGGAAAGUUCUAGAUAAUCCACAAAAAUAUCCUCGUGUCUUCUCUUCUCCAGUCGCCGUUGAUGCCAACGAAGAUGCCAUUGACGCCAAGUUCAUGAGUUUCCGCUUGAAGAAGACAUACAAAGGUGAGCACUUUGGUAUCAAAGAUUAUAUCAUAGAUGUUAAUUUUUCAAAUUUGUAAUCCCAGUAGAGUUUAGGUUUUCUUCAUCCCGGGCGUUUGCAUCGACUCACAAAUGCCUUCAAAUUAAUCCAAAUAAAGACUUCUUCAAUUCUUAUGACCACAAAUCUAAGCUUUCACUACCAAGUUCUAAAUACUCUUCCUCAAAUUCAAAAUUGGUCACUUAAAAUGUAGAUUUCACUUCCGCUUUACUUUUUUGACAGGUUAAGCCCAACAAGGAUCUAAUAUCACUGUCUAAAGAAGAUGAAACCAAAGAUUCAUCAACAUCAUUAUCACGUAACAAACUCGAUCUUUGAAAUUUAUUUGCAUUUCCAUUGUUUAUGUCUUGGUAUUUUCAUUGUGUGUCGUUUCUUCCAUAGCUGAAUAGCAUUAUAGGCUCCUCCUUGUAUAAUCCCAGGUGUCGAUCUGUCACUAUUAUUUCUUCCAUUGUUGUUUUAUUCCUAUUGUUUUCUCCUUUGAAUUUGCUUGUCUGUCCUAUUUUGUGCCUUGCUGCAGUCAUUAUGAAUUCUGUUUUGCUCAAUCUUUACUAAUUUAGCUCCCCUAUGAUUAAAAUUUCCAUUUUGGACCUUUGUAAUUUUAAGGUUUGGUAAUUGAGCUCUAUUCAUGUUCAAUAUUACUUUUGCUUUUCUUAGUAUUUCAUGCAUGUUUGUUAAUUUAUUCUUUCUAUACCUGCAAAAUAGAAAACAUAGUUAGCAAAAACAUCCACCAACUGACUGUCUUCUAUGUAAGUGUUUUCUACCUCAAUACCCAUCUCACUUAUUAAAGCUUUGAUCUUUCUGAUAUCCAUUGAAAUAUUUCAAGGAAUCUCGCAUAUGUCAUCCAGAAUUUUCUUCACAGAUAAAGAAUCAGUCUCUAAGAUGAGUGGUAGCAAAUUCUAAUUAAUGCAGUAAUUCAAUCCAAAAACUAAAGCUCUCACUUCUGCUUCCAAGGUAGAUAUCUCCCCUAAGUCUUCUACCUACAACAUAAACCAGUUCUCUAGCAUCAUUUCUCACACCAAAAACUCCUAAGCUAGUCUAGGAUUUUCUUUGAAGCCCUAUCUGAGUUGCACUUGUAGAAUCCCCUCCUAGGGAUCCUCAAGGAUACUACUAUACACUCAAUUCUAGGUGUAUACUUUUCUAAAACAUUACUAGGUAUACCCAAAAAUAUGGAAUGUCAUUUAGCCAAAGAUAUAAGCUCUUAGCCAUGAAUAUCAAAUUCCUAUUAAUAUCCAUCUUCAUAUUCACCUGUGACAUCCUUUACCAUGUUUCAAAGCAUUCCUUCUCUUCCAGAUUUGCCAUAAUAUGAACAUAGGCAUUGCUUUAAAACUAGGUCUCAAAUUUGAUGAAACAUCAGCAUUCAGCCACUUUAAAACACUAGUUUUCACUUGGAUGAAUGGUCCAUCAAUCUGUGGGGCAGCUACAAAAUAUUUUCAAAUAGAAUUAGAAUUUGUACUGUUAAUAAACAAGUGUUCAAUGGUUUCCUUUACUCCAUCCCCACAACAGCAGUAUGUAACAUCAUCACUCAUCUUAUUCUUGUUCAAAAUCUACCCAAUAGGUAUUCUCUUCUUCCAGAGUCUCCAUAAAAAGAAAGAAACCUUAAAUGGAACACCUUUAACCCAAAUUAGUUUAAAAUAUUAUUGGACUUCAUCUUUUUGUCUUAAACUUUCCAAGCAGACCCUACAAAAAACUUUUAGGAUCCACGACGUCUUAUCCCAUUCUUCUAAAUUAAAUUCAUAUUUCAUACAAUUGAUUAUGUCAUUACACACUUCCUCAUUAAAAAUCUGCUGCAUCAAUUAUACAUUCCAAUUCCCAUUUGCAAAGAGUUGAUUCACCUCCUCCAAUUGAUUAUCAAUAACCACGUUUAGUGAUAAAUAAUCAUAAAGAACUCUCAAUUGGGUCUAGUUGUCACACCAUAAAAUAGAAUUCCCAUCAAAUCGGUUGGGCAAGCUGUCUCUAGCCUCAAGCAUAUUCCUCCAAAUCAGGGUACCCCUUUCCACUCCACCAUUUAGGGUCUCACUUUUUUAUAAUACUUAUUCCACGUAAAAUUAGUCCAAAAAAGUUUUUGGGUUCUAAAAGUCCACGAUAAUUUAGCAAAAAGUUCUUUAGAAACAUUAAAUAAGGCCCUAAAAUCCAAACGCCCUUAUUUUGGCUUACAAAUUUCAGCCCAGGCCACCUAGUAUUUAUUUUUGCCUAUCUUUUUAAAAUUCCAUACAAAUCUUGCAAAGAUUCUAUGUAAAUCAUCAACUACACACUUGGGAGGAAUAAUAGCAGAUAACAAAUAUAGGAGAAUGCUAUUGAGAACAUUAUUUAUUAAAACAAUCUUCCCACCAAAAGAUAACAUCUUCCCUUUUCAGGACUGUAGCUUAUUACGAACCUUUUUUAUCGACUCUAAAAAAUGAACCUUUCUCUUUUUUGCAUGACCGAUUGGGCAUAUCAGAUAUAUGAGAGGAAAUUUUCCCCUACUAAAGCUAGUGCAUUCCUCUCAACCAAAUGAUCACAUCUUCCCUUUUCGUGAAGGUAGCUUAUCAUGAACCUUUUGUAUCAACUCUGUAAAAUGAACCUUUCUCUUUUUUUCAUAACCAAUUGGGCAGCUCAAAUAUAUGAGAGAAAAUUUUCCCCUACUGAAGCCAGUGUAUUCCUGUACCACCCUAAUAAGAGCAUGAGCAAUCUUGUGAUAAUCUAGAAAGACACUCUUCUAGUUGUUAACUAAAUGGCUAGAUUGUGCCUCAUAAUCACCAAGAAUGUCCAAUGAUUUUUUGUUAGCACAAACAAAGAUAACAAUAUCAUAAACAUAAGUGAAGUGGUUAAUUCUAUCACUCCACUUAGGCCUACCAAAACUCUUAAAUUCUAUGUUAUCAAAUAAAGAAUUUAAGGCUCUAGAUAAUACCUCGGCUCUAAAAUUAACUAUGUUGGAGACAAUGGAUUCCCUUGUUUAACUCCCCUUGUUGAGUGGAAGAAACCAUGUCUCUAACCAUUAAUAAGAAUGGAAUACCAAUUAUUAGCUACCAGCCUCCAAAUCUUAUUAGUUACCUCAUUGUCAAAACUAUCUUCCCCAACACUUAAACUAGAAAAGUCCAAUUCACCGUGUCAUACGCCUUUACCAUAUUCAGUUUAAUCAUUACAUUUGCAGGCUUAUCUUUCAAUCUAAUGGGUGCAAUGAUCUCUUAUGCUAAAAGCACAUUUUCAGUAAUACUCCUGCCCUUAACAAAUCCUGACUAGUUUAUUGAAAUGAGCCUCGGAAAUAAAUACUCAAGCCUAUCAUGCAAAACUCUUAAGAUGACUUUGCUCAGAUAAUUACUCAAGCUAAUUGGUCUCUUGUCUAAAAAGGAUUGUAUCACUUACUUGUCAGGCAAGUGUACUAAAUUAGUAUGAGUAAUGGAUUUUGGGAGAGUACACCCCUCAAGAAAAGCAUUCACCACUUCAUACACAUCCUCCAACACAAUACUCCAAAAACUUUGAAAGAAGUGACAAGUAAAUCCCAUCCGGACCACUAGCACGAUCACCUUUUAAUUCAAAUACCACCUUUUUCACUUCCUCCAAAUUAGUGUAGCAUUAAUGGCUAUGUUGUCAUCAACAUUUAUCAAAGCAGGAAUGUGUUGUAAUGGUGACAGUUCUGCCUUACCAAUGCUACCUGUAAAUUGGUCUCGAAAAAAAGAAAUAGCUUCAACAGCUCUUGUUCUCUUCCCUCAUCCCAAUUACCAUUAGAUUUAAGAAUCUUAUUGACAGAUGAUCUAUUCUUUCUACCAUUUACUAGACUCUGGAGAAAUUUAGUAUUUUUUUCUUUCAGAGUACAACUCAAUACUUGAUUUUUGCCUCCAAAAUUCUUCUUCAUAAUGAAUGUAUUAUUUUAAUUUAGCCUAAUCCCUCUAUAAUAUCAUUUAUUCUAUUCUCUCUUGAAGGAUCUUCUUUAAUGAAAUCUUCCUUGAGUCUAACAAUUUCUUCCCUAAUAAUAAUUUUCUUGACGUUGUCACCAAGUUUUUCUUUACUCCAAUUUGUCAUGGCAAACUUUGUCUUCUUUAAUUUUUGCUUAAGGCUGAUAAAGAUAUUAGAAUCUUUACUGGAAACCUAAUUUGUUGUUACCACUUAUUGAAAGUCCUCUUUCUCAGUCUAGAAUUUAAGAAAUCUAAAAGGCCUUCUGAUAGAAUCAGUUUGAUCUCCACAAUAUAGCAACAUUAGGGCGCGAUCUAAGCCAGUCAUAGCUAAGUGCUCCAUUUCGACAAGCUGAUACAUAUACAUAAUAUUUUUAUUAACUACUGGUCUAUCCAAUAUCUUGAAAAUGCAAUCAUUAUCAAGUCUUCCAUUCCAUCAGGUAAGAGAACUACCUUUAAAAUUGAUGUCAAGCAACUUACAAGAGUUUACACAAAAAUCAAAAUCCUCAUAUUCUUGAGGAUAUAUAGGGAGGCCUCCCUAUCUUCCCUUUAUCACUCAAAAUGACAUUGAAAUCACCCCCACCAGUCAAGGCAGCCUCAUAUUCAAUCUAAGAUUAUAUAUGUUAUCCCACACACUAACCCUUUCUUCAGAAUCACACUUACCAUACACCAUAGUGAUUAUAAAAGAUUGCCCUGAUUCAUGAAAAUUCAAUUGUAAGAACAGUUGUUUCUAUUAGUUAAUCGCUUAUAUCCGCACUCCCUUACAAAUGGUAUCAGAGCCCAGUAAUUUAAAAAAUACAGAAGUGAGAUAUAUGUUAAGUGAGAUAUUGAGAUAUAUCUAUUAGAGUUAUCAUCAGAAUUUACCUAUAAAUUAUUAAAUUAAUUAUGAGAAGACCAUUUAAAAAUAGAGAAGCUUUUAGAAAAAUUAAAGAAUCUUUAAUUAGUAAUUAUUCAGAAUAUAUAUGUCUAAAUAAAACAAAAGAAAACCCACAAAGAUUAGCCUACUUAAUUACAUUAAUAUCUAGUAUUGAAUCAAAAUUAAUAAUCCAUUUAAAAUCUAGGAGAAUGAAAAACAUACUACCUAAUUAUAAUAAAAUUAGAUUUAGAUAUCCGCCAAGAUAUUAUAAAUGAAUAAAGUACAACAAUACAAAGAAUUAAAACAAAUUAUUUCUGAAAAACGUAAAGAAUUAAAAAUAAGAAUAGAAAGACUAAAUUAUAAUAUAUUUGCCGGAGUUAGUAAAAACUCAAUAAAUACACAAAACGAUGAAAUAUCAAAAUUAGAAUCACAAAUAGCUAGUUUAGAAUAUAUAUAUCAACAUGAACUAUUCACAAUAAAAUGAACAAAGAAGAAUUUAUAAUAGAUGAAAAAACAUAUAAAACCACGAAGGAUCAAAAAUAAAAAUAGUAUUUUCUAAUCUAGGAAGAAGAUAUAAGAAAAUAGGUGAACAUUUAUAUCUAAUGUUAGAAAAAGAAGAAUUAAAAUUAGAAGAUAAAUUAACAGCAAUGGUAAGAAUAGAAAAAGAAAAUGAAGAGAUAGAUAGGAAAAAAGAAAUAGAAAAAAUAAAACAACAAACUACGGAAGAAAUACGAAAAAUAGAAGAAACCAAAAAUAGUAGAAUUGCUGAAUUAGAAAAAGAAUUACAAAUGUUAAAAGAACUGUAUGAACAAAGACAAAAAGAAAAAGAAGAAAAAGAUAGAGAACAAAAAUUACUAAAUGAGAUAAAUCAAUUUAAGGAAAAAUUAGAAAUAAAAAACGAAGAAUUAGAAAUAAAUAACAUAGAUAUUGAAGAAACAGAUAAUUAUGAGUCCGAAGAUAGUGAAACAUACACAGAAAUAUUAACAAAUACAAAAAAUUUAGAAAUCAAUGAAGAACAAAAAAUUUAUGAGGAAAACUUAGAAAAUACCCACACAGAAAUAAAUACUCUUGAUAAAAAAGAAAAUGAAAAUAUAAUACCUAAAACAACAGAAAUAAGAAAACCCAUAUAUUAUAAGAAUAAGUUUAAAAAAUAUAAUGAAUAUGAUAAAUGGAUACCAAAACAAAUAGUGAAUAAAAAUUAUAACUUUUUAGAUCUAGACUGUGUAAUAGAUACAGAAAAAACAAUACAAUUAUGGAUAGGAUAUAUGACAAAACAAUUAUUAGAUAAUAAUAUAAAUAUAACAGAUGCACCGGAAUAUAUAGAAAAAACACUAAUAGGAUCAGUAAAACUAUGGUUUGCAAAUCUAACCGAAAAUAGCAAAAAAGUAUUAAGAACUAAUAAACCUAUAGAAGGAACAUCAUCGACAACAACUAAACUAACACCUAUAGAAUUAUUAAAAAAAUAUGAAACAGCUAUAAAAGAUGAAUUUGGUAGUACGACAACAAUCGAAGAAGAACAAAAUGAAGAAAAAGAUACAAAUAGAAAUUUAAUGUUAAAAUUAGCAAUAUGUAAUAUGUGUUAUAUAGAUGAAUAUACUUGCGCAUUUAAAGAAUAUUAUUACAAAGGAGCAUAUAGUAUAGAAGAAAGUAAAGAAAUAAGAAAAUUAUAUUUUAAUAAAUUACCCGAGCCAUUUAGUUCGAAAAUAAUAAAAAGUUGGGAAGAAGCAAAAAUAGUAGAUACGUUAGGAGCAAGAAUAAAAUAUUUACAACAAUGGUAUAGAAACUUAUGUGAAAAAUAUAGAGAAGAAUUAAAAAUGGAAAAAACAUUAAUAAGAAAUUUAGCUUGUUGCAAAAAUAAAAUAGCACCCCAAUUUGGAUGCGAAGAAAGAUAUUAUAAGAAAAGAAAAAGACAUAAGAAAUAUAAGAAAUAUAAAAAAUCAAAAUAUAAAUAUAAAAAACCAAGAAAAAGAUACUAUGUAAAAAAUUAUAAACAUAAAAGACCAUAUAGAAAAAAGAAAUCUAUAAAAGAAUGUACUUGUUAUAAUUGUGGAAAGUUAGGACAUUUAGCUAGAGAUUGUAAAUUACCUAAAAAUCCAAAAAAUAAACAAAUAUCAGAAAUAAAAAUAGAAAAUACCGAAUACAUGCAGAUAGAUUAUAUAGAUUAUGAAUUAGAAAGUGAAGAUAGUAUAUAUGAAAUUUCAGAAAACGAAACAGAUAAUGAAAUAGAUAGCGAAAUAGAUGAAUCAAAUGACUGAAGAAGAUAUAAAAAUAAUAACAAAGGAAGAAUAUUUAAAUGAUGAAGGAACGGAACAAAAAAUAAUAUUUGACAGUAAUAUAUUUGAUGAAAUAAAAGGAAAAGAAUUAGAUUUAAGUGUAGACAAAAUAUUUAAAAUACCAACAAUAAAAAAUAUUUUUACUAGGAAAAAAGAUGAAUAUUAUGUAGUAUGCCAAAAAGAACAUGUAAUAGAUUGCAGAUAUGCAAAAGGAAAAGCUAGUAUACCACUAGUAACAAAAAGAAUAAUUAAUAAAGAAAUAAAUGAUAUAAAAAGUAAAGGAGAUCCAAUAAAAUAUGUACACCUUGGAGGUACAGAGAUAUUAAUAAAAGCAUGUUUUAGAGAAGGAAUAGAUACACCAAUAGAAUUAUAUUUAGCAGACGAUAGAAUUAUAAAACCUAUAGAAAAAAGCAUAAUAACUGCCGUAAAAGGAAAUCUAAUAUACCAAAAAUUUAAAUUUAUAAUAAGUGCAAAUUAUUCAGUAGCAGUAACAGAUAGGAAUAUAGAUAAAUCAUUAGUAUUAUAUUGGAAAAUAUCAGGAAUAGAGUUAACCCCAGGAAGUAAAAUAUUUACAGCAAGAUGUAAAAAUCUAUAUGUAUUAACAACAAAACAUAAAAUAACAGGAAAAAAUAAGAUUAACAAAAUACAAAUAGAAAGCCCAUUCGAACAAAUAGUAAAAACAAUAGAUUAUAAUGAUUAUACCUAUAGAGACAUAGAUACAGAAGAAAAUUUAGAAAUAGUAAAUGAUAGAAUAAGUACAACGAAAAGAAUAGCUAAUGAAAAGCCAGAAUCAUCAAGCUCAUCAAAAAGAACAAGUUAUGAAACAAACUCAAUAAGUAAUUUAAACCAAUAUUACAUAACGGGAAAAAUAAAUGAAAAAGAAUAUUUAAUACUUUUGAAUACAGGACAAGAAGAAAAUCAUAUAGCAAAAUAUCUAGUAAAAAAUGAAGAAAUAAAAACUGACAAUGAUAUAUGCCCAGAUCUACCAAGAAGUUUAAUAAAUAAUAAAAAUAUAGCAGAAAAAGAAAUAAUGUUAGGAGUUAGAAAAAUAAAAAUAGAAUUCGAAGUAAAGGAAGAAAUGCAAAAAGCAGAUAUAAUAUUAGGAAUAAAAUGGUUAGAACAAGUAAAACCAUAUAAUAUAGAACAUACACAAUUAACCUUAACAUAUAACCAAGAAAAGUUAUUCUUAAAAAGAGCCUUAACAUGAAAUGAAGAUACAUGUAUUAAUGAAGAUAGUAGUAGAAGGAUAUUACAGUAGAUAUUAUACGCCUAUGAUAGAUACAGGAGCAGAAGCUAAUUUAUGUAGAUAUAAUUGCUUACCAGAAAGCAAAUGGGAUAAACUAAAAACACCAAUAAUAGUUAAAGGAUUUAAUAAUGAAGGAAGCUUAAUUACUUAUAAAGCUAGGAAUGUAAAAAUACAAGUAUGGGAUAAGAUAUUAACAAUAGAAGAAAUUUAUAAUUAUGAAUUAACAUCAAAAGAUAUACUUUUAGGAAUGCCAUUUUUAGAUAAAUUAUACCCACAUAUAAUAACCAAAACAGACUGGUGGUUUACAACACCAUGCAAACAAAAAGUAAGAGCAAAAAGAGUUAAUAAUAAAAUAAGAAAGAAAACUGAUUGGAUAAAAGGAAGUGAAAAAAUUACACAAAAGUUAGAAAAUAUAAACAAUACUGAAGAUACAGUAGAACUAGUAGUAUUUUCGAUAAAUAAAACAGAAAUAACUAUAUUUUCAAUAAAUAAAAUAGAAAUAAUUCAGAAAAAAUUAGAACAAUUAUAUAGUGAAGAUCCAUUAAAAGGAUGGGAAAAACACAAAACUACUAUAAAAAUUGAAUUAAUAGAUAAGAAUAGCAUAAUAACACAAAAACCAUUAACAUAUAAUUUUGAUGAUUUAAAAGAAUUUAAAAUGCACAUAGAUGAAUUAUUAGAAAAACAAUAUAUACAAAAAAGUAAUAGUAAACAUAAUAGUCCAGCAUUUAUAGUAAAUAAACAUAGUGAACAAAAAAGAGGAAAAAGUAGGAUGGUUAUUGACUAUAGAAAUUUAAAUGCAAAAACUAUAACAUAUAAUUAUCCGAUACCAAAUAAGAUAUUAAAAAUAAGACAAAUCCAAGGAUAUAAUUAUUUUAGCAAAUUUGAUUGUAAAUCAGGAUUUUACCACCUAAAGCUAGAAGAAGAAUCUAAAGAAUUAACCGCAUUUACGGUACCACAAGGAUUUUAUGAAUGGAACGUGUUACCAUUUGGAUAUAAAAAUGCACCAGGUAGAUAUCAACAUUUUAUGGAUAAUUAUUUUAAACAAUUAUCUAAUUGUAUAGUAUACAUAGAUGAUAUAUUAUUAUACACCAAAACCAAAGAAGAACAUUUAAAAUUAUUAGAACAAUUCACAGAUAUAAUAGAAAAAUCAGGAAUAAGUCUAAGCAAAAAGAAAGCUGAAAUUAUGAAAAACCAGAUAGAAUUUUUAGGAAUACAAAUAGAUAAAAGUGGAGUAAAAAUGCAACAACAUAUAGUACAAAAAAUAAUAAAUUCGAAAGAAGAAUUAGAUACAAAAAAGAAAUUACAAUCAUUUUUAGGAUUAGUAAACCAAGUAAGAGAAUAUAUUCCAAAAUUAGCAGAAACCUUAAAACCACUGCAGAAAAAAUUAAAAAAGGAUAUAGAAUAUAAUUAUGAUGAAAAAGAUAAAAAACAAGUUCAAAAAAUAAAAUUACUUUGUAGAGAAUUACCAAAAUUGCAAUUUCCAGAUGAAAAUAGAAAAUUUAUAUAUAUAGUAGAAGCAGAUGCAAGUGAAUAUAGUUACGGAGGAGUACUUAAAUAUCGAUAUGAAGCAGAAAAAAUAGAACACCAUUGUAGAUACUACUCAGGUACGUUCAACGAGACAGAAAUAAAAUGGGAAAUAAAUAGGAAAGAAUUAUGUUCAUUAUAUAAAUGUUUAUUAGCAUUUGAGCCAUAUAUUGUAUAUAACAAAUUUAUUGUACGAACAGAUAAUACACAGGUACGCUGGUGGUUAACAAAGAAAAUACAAAAUUCAGUUACAACAAAAGAGAUUCGAAGACUAGUUUUAAAUAUAUUAAAUUUCACAUUUACAAUUGAAGUGAUCAGUACUAACAAAAAUGUUAUUGCAGAUUACAUAUCAAGACAAAGCUACACAGACUGAAAUAGUAGAGGAAGAUACUCUAGAAAAAAUACUUAACACCCUAACUACGCUUUCAAUGAAAGUGGACAGUAUGGGUAAUGAGAUAGAAAAGCUAAAGACUAAUGAAGAUACUAUUGACAAGAUAUUGUAAAAUAAUCGGACACAAAUAUCCAGAUCACCAAUGUUCAAGAUGUAAUGGAGAAGAUAACAUUAUUCCAGAAGUACAUCUAGAAUAAAAGAAGACAAAAUGCCAGCUGGAAAGAUAAGAUGAAGCAAUAAUAGAAUAUAGCAAAUACGACAACAGCAAUGGAAGACAAGAUAUUGGAUCAUUUAUGAAGCAUUGUAUAGAUUUUUACGUAGAAUUGUUAAGAUUGUAAAUUAUGUAGACUUAUGGACUUGGACUUUUUUUUCUUUAGUCUUUAAAGGCUAUGUAUAGAUUUUUUAGGUUUAGGUAAUCUUUAGUAGCCUUUUUGACUUAUAGGAUAACAUUUAAAAAACGUGUAAAGAUGAUUGUAAAGUUUUUCGUUCUAUAAAUGAAGGCAACUGAAGGCAUUGCAAAGCAAUCCUUCAUGCGUUAGAGCAAAUACUCUCUCCAUUCCACAACAAAUAUUUUANNNNNNNNNNNNNNNNNNNNNNNNNNNNNNNNNNNNNNNNNNNNNNNNNNNNNNNNNNNNNNNNNNNNNNNNNNNNNNNNNNNNNNNNNNNNNNNNNNNNNNNNNNNNNNNNNNNNNNNNNNNNNNNNNNNNNNNNNNNNNNNNNNNNNNNNNNNNNNNNNNNNNNNNNNNNNNNNNNNNNNNNNNNNNNNNNNNNNNNNNNNNNNNNNNNNNNNNNNNNNNNNNNNNNNNNNNNNNNNNNNNNNNNNNNNNNNNNNNNNNNNNNNNNNNNNNNNNNNNNNNNNNNNNNNNNNNNNNNNNNNNNNNNNNNNNNNNNNNNNNNNNNNNNNNNNNNNNNNNNNNNNNNNNNNNNNNNNNNNNNNNNNNNNNNNNNNNNNNNNNNNNNNNNNNNNNNNNNNNNNNNNNNNNNNNNNNNNNNNNNNNNNNNNNNNNNNNNNNNNNNNNNNNNNNNNNNNNNNNNNNNNNNNNNNNNNNNNNNNNNNNNNNNNNNNNNNNNNNNNNNNNNNNNNNNNNNNNNNNNNNNNNNNNNNNNNNNNNNNNNNNNNNNNNNNNNNNNNNNNNNNNNNNNNNNNNNNNNNNNNNNNNNNNNNNNNNNNNNNNNNNNNNNNNNNNNNNNNNNNNNNNNNNNNNNNNNNNNNNNNNNNNNNNNNNNNNNNNNNNNNNNNNNNNNNNNNNNNNNNNNNNNNNNNNNNNNNNNUAAAUUUAAAAUACUUAUUUUGUAUGCACUUAAAGAUAUAAAAGUAGUAGAUAUAAGAAAAAUUAUAUUAGAAAAAGUAUUUAGUAAAUAUUACAUGACUAGAGUAAAUUAUAUACCAUACCUACCUAACUACACUUACAAAUACUUACCAUGAUAAUUACAUAAGAUUUUUAGAAAAAGAUAUGAGAAACAUACAGUUACUAGAAAAACAGAUAAAAAUAAAUAUAGACAAAUACAUGAAAAAUAAAGAUAUAAAAUACAUAGAAUAUCUUGAUAAAAAUAUGCAAGAACUACUAUAGAUAUCUAAAUAAUGAAAUUAAUUAUAGAAAUUGAAUUAGAAAAAUAAUGGAAAAUCUAAAAAAAAUUAAUAUGGAUAGAAGAAAAAUUAGAAAAAAGCACAUGUGAUAGUUUAUAUAAUUUAACUACUACACGUUUUAAAUGUUAUCCUAUAAGUCAAAAAGGCUACUAAAGAUUACCUAAGCCUAAAAAGUCUAUACAUAGCCUUUAAAGGCUAAAGAAAAAAAGUCCAAGUCUAGAAGUCUACAUAAUUUACAAUCUUAAUAAUUCUACGUAAAAAUCUAUACAAUGCUUCAUAAAUGAUCCAAUAUCUUGUCUUCCAUUGCUGUUGUCGUAUCUGCUAUAUCUCUAUUAUUGCUUCUUUUUCUUAUCUUUCCAGUUGGCAUUUUGUCUUCUUUUAUUCUAGAUGUACUUCUGGAAUAANNNNNNNNNNNNNNNNNNNNNNNNNNNNNNNNNNNNNNNNNNNNNNNNNNNNNNNNNNNNNNNNNNNNNNNNNNNNNNNNNNNNNNNNNNNNNNNNNNNNNNNNNNNNNNNNNNNNNNNNNNNNNNNNNNNNNNNNNNNNNNNNNNNNNNNNNNNNNNNNNNNNNNNNNNNNNNNNNNNNNNNNNNNNNNNNNNNNNNNNNNNNNNNNNNNNNNNNNNNNNNNNNNNNNNNNNNNNNNNGUUUAUUUGCGUAGAAGUUGGGUAUCUCAAUUCUGGGUAUCUCCGGUUGCUGUGUAUUAUCUUCUGGUAUGAUCAUAUCUCUGGUUAGUCCUAUUUUUACAACUUGUAUAACUGGUUUUAUUUCGUCAUAUAAUAUCUCUGCUGGUGCAGUAUAACACUUUAUGUAAAAUAAAUUUCCUUUCUUUAUCCUUUUGUAGGUGGUGAAUAUCUUGUUUAAUUCUUCCAUAGCUGUUAAUUCUUCUCCGUCUUGGGUAUAUAUGGUGUUUAAUAGUCCAUAGUCAAAACAGGUUUUUACUAGGCUUGGGUUAGUUUUGGGUAGUGCAAUUAGUUUGUUAUAUCCUUGUAAUUUUUGGGUUAUAUAGUUUGUGUUUGGUUCUUUGAUGUUUGUAGCUCUGGGGUUAUGGUUUAGAAAAGUUUGUACUCUGUAGAUAUUUUCUAUGUAUUUCUGGGCUGUGUAGUUGUAAACUUUUUUAUCUUGGUUUAGGCUAUCUCGGUAUGUGGUAACUUGUGGGGGUAUAAACAAGUGGUCUUUUUGUGUUUUGAUGUAAAAGGUUUUUCAAAUAUUUUAUUCAUAUUCUGGUAUCUUGGUCGAUUAACUCCUUUGCUUGUACCUGCAGAAGUAGAUUGAUAAAUGUUAUGGGUUUUAUGGAGUAUCCCAACGUCUCCUUCUAGCUCUGGAACUUUAAUGUCUUUCGAUCGACAUAGCUCUGCACACUGCUGAGUUAGCUGAUUUGUAGCUAUAGACUUCAGUUUAUCUUCAUUAGUCUUUAGCUUUUCUAUCUCACUACCCAUACUGUCCACUUUCAUUGAAAGCGUAGUUAGGGUGUUAAGUAUUUUUUCUAGAGUAUCUUCCUCUAAGUCUGUGUAGCUUUGUUUUGAUAUGUAAUCUGCAAUAACAUUUUUGUUAGUACUGCAAUUGUUUUGAUAUGUAAUCAUAUAUAUAUAUAUAUAUAAUAUGAUUGCGUCAACCCUAGUCUGGCAGAAGGAUGACUUACCCUACGUUGGCUAUGUAGUUCUGUAAUGCAGGGACUGCUACUAAGGGUCAAACCCUCUACUGGCAAGAAUGCCCCCAUCCCUGGGUUCGCUCGGUACUGAAUCGAAACUGAACUGGUCAUUAGACUGUACUAGGCUUGACUGAACUGACACUGAUCGUAUUGACUGACUGAACUGGAUUAAGUUCACUGAGUUCUGCUAACUGACUGAUUACUACUGUUCUUGACCUUUACUAGAACGAUUUUAUAACUACUGCAACUAAGUAAACAACUAGAUUUUGGGUAAUAAAUACCCCCAGGAUUCGAUAGCAUAAUGGAUAAAACAUAACAAAUUUUGAAAGCAUAACAAUAGUCAAUUGUUCAUAAUUCAUUCAUUGAGUCAUUUUGUCAAACACUUGGAGGUCAUGGACUUGCACAUGAUUGAGAACACAUGGUAACAUGUCAUGAUUUCACUAUUCAGUUCACAUGGACAUUCUAACAAACACUUGGGGAGCAUAAUUAAUACACAUGAUAAUAAACAACACAUAAGCAUCAUGACUACAAUUAAACUUGCAAAUUCAAGGGUUUUGACAUGAAAGAUUCAUAAUUCAGCACAUAUGCUAACAUAAUUUCAUGAAACCCAUAAAAGAUCUCAACUUGAAAUCCAUACAACAACUUAAACAUGGGCAUAAUUCAAUUCAUAACAUGGAAAUCAAAAUUCAAGUUUUUGAAAAGGUUUCUUGAACUCCAAGAGUGGAAGGAGACCCAAGGAUGAAUACCUAACAUACCUUGAUUGUUGAUUUCGUGAAGAUUGUUGGUGAAUUCUCAAAACUUGGACUUGAACUUGAUAAACUAGGGUUUACUUAUUGAGAGGAUUUUGAGAAGAAUGAAUGUAAUUUGCCCUUUUGGGUGUUUAAUUUUGUGUUUUGACUGAAUUGAGUGAGGGGAAAAGGACCUAAUUGUCCUUGGAAAAUCGGAGUUUAAUACUGUAACGCCCCAAAAUAUCAUCCUAAGACGCCACACGGUGCCUAAGGCUACACGGUGCCUCAAGCUAACCCUUUAAGCCAAAACACUACCCUUAGGUUCCAACACAACAACAUACACGCUACGCUAAAACAUCGCACAUGGCACGGAAUAUCAUUAGACUGUACAUAUAUGGAAUGUCUAUACACAAACCAACCCAACAAUACACUAGUCUGACAUAGCCUCUAUACAGCAAAAUCAACGAGCCAUUGGGAUAAACCCCCAACUGGCUCAACAGACCAAAGGGAUCACAAAAUAACAACGCCAAAACUAGCAACUUGGUCCUCGAACCAUGAGGACUCACCACUGAAGGAAUGUAGAUGCGACACUCGGAUAUCACUGUCGCGGCUGCGGCUAAGUACCUGAACCUACAUCAUGGUAAAAUGUAGCCCAUAGAGAAAUAUAUGGGUCAGUACAAGAUACGUACUGAGUAUGUAGGGGCGCAUGCAAAAUAUAAAUAAUAUCAUAAAUUUUGUAAAAACGUACAUACGGACCAUAAUGACACCUUACCAUAUCAAAACUCGGAGUGACUCGGUAUUUCAAUAAACAUGACUCUUAUGGACAGGGGAGUUUCCUAUAACUGACAACCCCACGUGAGUUAUAUGGAAUACCAAUGUUUGAAACACUGUUGGGGGGCGCGUCAUACUCUUUACCAGGGAGUACGACCUUAAAACUGCAAUAAUCAUAAUCGGGCUCUCUGGCCAAUAGUAUCAUCAUCAAACAACCCUGCGGUGGCACAUAGGUUUGGGAAAAUACCAAAUUUUCCUCUCGGUGCUAAGUACUACUCCCCGACAAGCUCAAAACGCGUUAGGAAAUCCACCACAAUACCACAGGGGUCUAUCAUAAAGACCAAAUCAAAUCUCUUUCUCAUUUAUCAAAUCAUAUCAAUUUGUGGACUCCUAACUCAAAACAUUUUAGCUCAAAACAUUUUAAUCUUCCUCAACAUCAACAAGGUAUCAAUGCAUUGAACCAUAACCGACUCGACAUUUGGACAAGGAUAUGAAGACUCAUACAUAAUAUUUUUAACAAUUUAACUCAUCAAAACUAUCCAAAAAAUACCAAGACUCAUUACAACUUCAAUAUCAACAUUUUUCAAUUUGCCAUCUCACUCUCAUUUAAAGGUACUUGAGACAUAAUCCCAUAGUAGGGAUAUAGAAUUUCCAAUAUCAAUUAUAAAUUCAUAAUAAGAAAAUAGUGGUAUGAUUGUAUAAAUCAAGGCUUAACAAAUUAAAUCAUCAUACUCUCAUAAUCAAAUAUUUUUUGGACAUAAUUCCAUCUCAACAUCAUACANNNNNNNNNNNNNNNNNNNNNNNNNNNNNNNNNNNNNNNNNNNNNNNNNNNNNNNNNNNNNNNNNNNNNNUAAAAAAUGUAAAAUCUCAUGUCAAUGUAAUUCAACAAAAAUAUCGGGCACAAGAUCGAAAGAAUAAUUUUGUUCAAAGCCCCACAUACCUAAAAAUGGAAGAUGAAUAUGAACUUUUGACUCUGGAACUUUAUUCAUAAAAAUAAAGGGUGAUUCUCGAAGCCCUUAACAUGAUCAACUCGAAUUCCAAAUCAAUUUGAAAUUUCUACGGUUCAAUCAAGAGACAUAGAAGGAUGAAAUUUGGAGUAGUAGGGUUGGGGUUUGAUCCUUAGGAAAUUUUAAAGAAAAAUGAGCUAUUGAAUGCUCUUAAUGGACUUAAAUCCAUGGUUUACCCGGAUGGAUUGGAGUGGGAAUGACCAAAAUACCCUUAAAAAUCAAAUAAUGUCAAAUCUGUCCUUUGGUGGAUUGUUUUGAUAGGCUGAAGUAGAUCGACCAUAACUUUUUGCUCUGAUGGACAAAUUGGAUGAAACCUUUCAUUGGAAAUAGAACUUUCAGAGCUUUCUGUUGAUAUAUAGUAGCUCACCCAGAUCAUUAUGUACAAGGAGUUAUGAUCGUUUGAAGUUGACACUAAAAUUUGCCUGGCCUCAGUAUUUUUUUCCUGCACAUUUACUGUUCACCACUAUUCAUGGUUAGAUCGGAAUGAUCAUAACUCAUCGCUCGAGUGUCUGUUUUGGAUGAUACACAUAUCGUUGGAAAGCUUAUUCGAUGCUAUACGCGAUGACGGGUUGCAUAUCCAGAAAUUCCACAUGUAAAAAUUAUUAAUUAUGAUAAAGAACAGAAUUCAACAUAUUUUCGUCUGAGAUCUUAAGAAAAAAAUUUUUUAGGGCAUCAUAUCAUCUCCCCUUUGGAAACAUUCGUCCUCAAAUGUUUAUAGGUAGGUCAAUAAUACUAGGAAAAUGAGUAUAUAGAGAAAAAUUAUCUUGCCCAAGCAUAUACUCCAUUCUAGAUUUUUUUUAGAUAUCGUAGAAAACACACAAGCCAAGAUAAACAUAGAAAUAAGGAUUAAAUCAAAAGAGAACGAUACCUUUGACAUGCUCAGGAUUUAUAGGAAAGAGGUGGGGAUAUUUGGCGCGCAUAUCCUCUUCGGCUUCCCAAGUAGCACUCUCCACGGAUUAAUUUCGCCAAAGCACUUUAACCAAAGGAACUUCCUUGUUUCUUAGCCUACGAACUUGAAAGUCAAAAACCUCAACCGGAAUCUCUUCAUAUGAAAGACUAUCUUAAAUAACCGAGCUUUCGGAAGGAUCAAUCACAAUAGAAUCACCAAUAGACUUCUUAAACAUAGAAACAUGGAAAACCGGAUGGACGUUAGAUAACUCUACGGGCAAUUCAACCUUAUAUGCUACCUUCCCAAUGCGAUCCACAAUCUUAUAUGGACCAAUGUAACGGGGACUUAGUUUCCCUUUCUUCCCAAAUCUCUUCACCCCUUUCAUGGGUGAAACUUUCAAGUACAAUAAAUCACCAACAUCAAAUUUAAGGUCUUUCCUCUUUACAUCUGCAUAUGAUUUUUGAUGACUUUGGACGGUUUUCAACCUUUUUCAAAUUAACUUAACCUUCUCCAUGGCCUCGAACACCGCAUCUGGUCCAGUCGUGGUAGCCUCACCAACUUCAAACCAACCAAUGGGUGAUCUACACCUUAUACCAUACAAAGCUUCAAACGGGGCCAUUCCAAUAGUAGCAUGAAAACUGUUAUUGUAAGCAAACUCGAUUAAUGCUAAGUGCUCAUCCCAACUACCUUUAAAAUUAAGCACACAAGCCCUCAACAUAUCUUCUAACGUCUGAAUGGUCUGCUCGGCCUGACCAUCUGUUUGUGGAUGGAAAGCAAAACUUAAACGAAUUUGGGUACCGAGACCCUUCUGGAAAGAUUUUCAAAACUGAGAGGUAAACUGAGUACCUCUGUCAGAAAUAAUAGCCAAAGGGAUUCCAUGAAUUCUGACGAGUUCCCGAAUAUAUAUUCUAGCAUAAUCUUCAGUUGUAUACGAUGAAUGCACAGGCAAAAAAUGAGCUGAUUUUGUCAACCGAUCUACGACAACCCAAAUCGAAUCAUGAUGGUGAUGAGAAGGAGACAAACCAACUAUGAAGUCCAUAUUCACUUCUUCCCACUUCCAAGUAGGAAUGCUAAACUCUUGUAUCACACCACUGGGCCUUUGAUGCUCUAUUUUAACCUGUUGACAUGUGGAACACUUCGCCACAAAUUUUUCUAUGUUCCUCUUCAUACCGUUCCACCAAUAGAUUUUCCGCAAAUCAUGGUACAUCUUGGUAGCACUAGGAUGGAUGGAGUAUCGCGUACCAUGUGCUUCCGCCAUAAUCCUCUACUUUAAGUUAUCAACAUCAGGAACACAUAAUCUUUCUUAGAGUCUCAAAACGCCAUCUCCAUCUUGGGAGAAAACCUCCACCUUUUGGUCUUUAACUGACUCUUUUAACCUGACCAAGGUAGGAUCCUUGUCUUGCUUCUCCUUCACUUCUGAAACUAAAGAGGAUUCGGAACCUCUUUGCACUCCUUUACUACCCUCAGCAUCACCAAACAACCUAACCCCUAAUCUAGCCAAAUGAUGUACCUCACGGGCCAACUCCUUUUUACCAAUCUCCACAUGUACUACGCUACCCAUGGACUUCCGGCUAAGGGCAUUUCCUACUACAUUGGCCUUGCUCGGAUGAUAUAGCACGCUCAUAACAUAAUCUUUCAACAGUUCUAACCAUCGUUUCUGGCUAAGAUUCAACACCUUUUGGGUGAAUACAUACUGCAAUCUCUUAUGGUCCGUGAAGACGUCGACAUGAACACCAUAUAAAUAAUGUCUCCAAAUUUUCAAAGCAAAAACCACGGCAGCUAAUUCAAGGUCAUGGGUAGGAUAAUUCUUCUCGGGAGGAUUUAGCUGCCUGGAAGCAUAAGCUAUAACCUUGCCCUUUUGCAUCAAUACACAACCCGAACUAACUCUGGAAGUAUCGCAAUACACCACAAAACCAUCUACACCGUCAGGAAAAGUCAACAUAGGGGCUGAAGUGAGUCGAGUCUUCAACUAAUGAAAACUCUUCUCGCAAGAUUCGGACCACUUGAACUUCACUUUCUUUUGGGUCAAACGGGUCAUAGGAGACGCAAUAGAUGAAAACCCUUCAACAAAAAGAUGAUAAUAACCAGCUAGACCUAAGAAACUUUAGAUAUCAGAAGGAGAAAUAGGUCUAGGCCAACUCUUUAUAGCCUCUAUCUUUGGACGAUCAACUCUAAUACCUUCGAAAGAAAUAAUAUGACCCAAGAAGGCUACAGAGUUUAGCCAAAACUCACACUUACUGAACUUAGCAUACAACCAAUGAGUUCGAAGAGUUUCCAACAUGAUUCGGAGAUGAUCCGUAUGAUCACCAUCACUUCGAGAGUAAAUAAGAAUAUCAUCAAGGAACACUAUUACAAAUAAAUCCAGCUAUGGACGAAAUACACGGUUCAUAAGAUCCAUGAAAGCCGCUGGAGCAUUAGUUAACCCGAAAGACAUCACUAGAAAUUCACAAUAAUCGUAACGGGUUUGAAAGGCUGUCUUGGGGAUAUCACAUUCCCUAACCUUAAGUUGGUAAUAACCGGAUUUGAGGUCUAUCUUCGAAAAGUAGCUCGCACCUUGCAAUUGAUCAAAUAAAUCAUCAAUUUAAGGAAGCGAAUAUUUAUUCUUGAUAGUAACCCUAUUAAGCUGCCGAUAAUCAAUACACAUCCGUAAAGAACUAUCUUUCUUAUGCACAAACAGGAUAGGUGCACGCCACGGGGACACACUAGGUCUGAUAAAGCUUUUGUCUAAAAAAUCUUUCAAUUGCUACUUCAACUCUUUAAGUUCCGUGGAAACCAUGCGAUACAGAGGAAUGGAAAUAGGAUGAGUGUCAGGAAGAAGGUCAAUCCCAAACUCUAUCUAUCUAUCAAGGGGGUACUCCAGGGAGAUCUUCUGAAAAGAUAUCAAGAAACUCAUUAACAACAUUAAUUGACUGAAUGGUCGGGGUUUCAGACUUAGUGUCUUUAACCCGAAGCAAAUAGUGGACGCAACCCUUAGAAAUCAACUUCCUAGCUUUGAGAUAGGAUAUGAAACGACCCUUAGGAAUCACAAAACUCCCAGACCAUUCGAUGAUAGGUUCAUCAGGAAACAGAAACUUGACCACACGGGCACGACAAUCAAUAGAUGCAUAGCAUGAGUAAAGCCAAUCCAUACCCAGAAUGAUAUCAAAGUCAACCAUAUCUAGCUCAAUCAAAUCAGCAUACAUAACCCGAUGAAAGACAGUAAUGGGACAUUUCUUAUACACCCACUUAGCAAUGACAGACUCUUCUACCAGAGUAGAAACCAAAAUAGGCUCAGAAAUUAGUUCAGGAUUCGUUUCAAAAUUUACAACAACCAGAGGUGUCAUAUAAGAAAAACUCGAUCGGGGUCCAUCAACACAUAGACAUCAAAAUAGAAAAAUGAAGAAUACCAGUGACAAUAUCGGGAGAUUCCUCCUGCUUCUGACGAGCUGGUAUAGCAUAUAAAUAAUUCUGGCGUUGACCGCCAGCGGUACUAGAUAAAAUACCUUGAGGAGGAACUAGAUGGGCUACAGGAGGUGGGGCACUGGUAGCCUGACUCUGACUCUGGGGACGGGCAUCACGACUCCGCUGUCUGGCAUACGGGCAGUCUCUCAGUUGUGGCCCAACUUGCCACAACCAAAACAGCCCCGCUGCCCCAUAUAACACUCCUCAAAUGGUCUUUACCACACUUAGCACACGAAGGAGGAUGAGGCCAGUUGCUUACACUGUCCUGAGACCUGGAAGGUACCGACUUUUUCCCGAGCUCCUGCCUGCCCCAAUAUAUAGAAGCACUAGCUGAGGAAGGCACAAGUAUAAAUGGACGUCUCUGAAAUCGAAGGAUACUCCCUCCAGAGAAUCUAGUCUGACCAGACCCUUAUUGCUUCGAUCUGACUCUCUAUAUCCCUCUUACAUUUUCUCUUUCCUUUAUCUUAUCUGACUCAAUCUGUUGGGCGUGAAUCAUUAACCUAGGAAGAUUAAUCUCCCUGUUGAUCAUAGCAAAUCUAUAUUCUUUCACCACAUAACUCGACACCCUAGUUAGAAACUUGCUCAUACUAGUCCUCGAGUCCGCCAUCAUACUAGGAGCGUACUUCGAUAGCUAAUUAAACUUAAGACAAUACUUAUUAACUGAUAUGGAGCCUUGUCUCAAAUUCAUAAACUCCUCUAUCUUAGCUUCCCUUAACUCAAGAGGAAAGAAUAUAUCCAAGAAAGCAUCUUGGAAUAAUUGCCAAGUCACCAGAGCGGUAUCUUCCUCUCUACCCUUAUUCCACAUCUGCACCCAGUCAUAGGCAAUAUCCUUCAACCGAUAAGAAUCCAGCUCCACACUUUCUUCCUCGGUCACGUGCAUAAUCUGUGUAAUUUUCUUUAUUUCAUCAACAUACAUCUUCGGGUCCUCACCUGCUCUCAACCCAUGAAACUUUGGUGGAUUCAUCUACAUAAAGUCAUGAAUUCAUGCUACUGCCGAAUUAAUUUCCUGCGAAGGUGGAGCAUUGGCCUAAGUAUUGGCAGUAAAUGCCUAGGCUAGCAUAUGAAAAGCUUCCCAAAAUUUGGCAUGGGAUACCGUCUCAUGAAACGAAUCAACGGGUUGAGGUUAGUUAUUGUUUUCACGAGCUCGACUUGGAGGUAUUUUCUGUCAUAAGAACGCACGAAUUAACAGCAAAAGGAAAUAGUUGUAAGCAUGAUAGACUCUUGUAGAAAGAAAGAAACAACUUUUCCUAGAACUCCCCCAUCAUCUUGAUCAUAGGUGUGGCGCACUAUACACCGAUGCUCAAGACUCUACGUAACGCGGCUUGUCAGACUCCCUAGGACUCUUCACAACCUUAGGCUCUGAUACCAAGUUUGUAACACCCCAAAAUAUCAUCCUAAGAUUCCACACGGUGCCCAAGGCUACACGUAGCCUCAAGCUAACCCUUUAAGCAAAAACACUGCCCUUGGGUUUAAACACAACAACAUACACGCUACGCUAAGGAUAUAUAUAUAAGUACAUAUCAUAUCACAUCGGACAUGGCAUGGAAUAUUGUUAGACUGUACAUAUAUGGAAUGUUUAUACACAAACCAACCCAACAAUACACUAGUUUGACAUAGUCUCUAUACAGCAAAAUCAACGAGCCAUUGGGACAAACCCCCAACUGACUCAAUAGACCAAAGGGAUCACAAAACAACAACACCAAAACUAGCAACUUGGUCCUCGAACCAUGAGGACUCACCACUGAAGGAACGUAGAUGCGGCACACAAAUAUCACUGUCGCGGCUGCGGUUGAGUACCUGAACCUACAUCAUGGUAAGAAUGUAGCCCAUAGAGAAAUAUGUGGGUCAGCAUAAGAUAAGUACUGAGUAUGUAGGGGCGCAUGCAAAAUAUAAAUAAUAUCAUAAGUUUUGUAAAAACGUACAUACGAACCAUAAUGACACACCUGACUUGAGUGACAUUGAAUCAUGUAACUCAUAACAUCUUAGAUAGGAAAUGUAGGAGAAAAACCUCAUAAGUCAUUAUAGAUCAUCAUAAGCAACUUGACUUACCACAUCAAAACUAGGAGUGACUCGGUAUUUCAAUAAACAUGACUCUUAUGGAUAGAGGAGUUUCCUAUAACCGACAACCCCACGUGAGCUACAUGGAAUACCAACGUUUGAAACCCCCGUUGGCGGGAGCGUCAUACUCUUUGCUAGGGAGUACGACCUUAAAACUGCAAUAAUCAUAAUCGGGCUCUCUGGCCAAUAAUAUCAUCAUCAAACAACCCUACGGUGGCACAUAGGUUUGGGAAAAUACCAAAUUUCCCUCUCGGUGCUAAGUAC
rnacentral:lncRNA from 1 species